rnacentral:lncRNA from 1 species
CCCGGGGUGGGUUGCCCCCCCCCGGUGAACUCCCGGAACCCAUUCAUCAUUUUCGGUACAUUCCCGGUAACUCCGAAAACCUUCCGGUAAUCAAAUGAGGUNNNNNNNNNNNNNNNNNNNNNNNNNNNNNNNNNNNNNNNNNNNNNNNNNNNNNNNNNNNNNNNNNNNNNNNNNNNNNNNNNNNNNNNNNNNNNNNNNNNNCAUUUCAUCUUGGUCUAGAUGUAGGCAUGGACAUAGGGGGAGUGUUGUUCUCUCAAUGAACUCUCCCUCCCCCCAUUAUGCGUAAAUCAAUCUAGUCUUUCACUUUAGCCAUUGACAAAUGGCACUUGUGCUUCAAAGACGAGCAUUGGUCAUGAACCCAAGGAUAAUUCUUCGCGGUGUCAUACCAUUGUCUCAAACAUAGGUGGCCUCGGCCACCGCCCCUCCAUCCUCUCUUGCGUAUAAAGGAGAGGAUAUACAAUGACAAGUCAGUACAUUUUCUUGGAUGUGAUUCCUUUUUACUCACUUGUCAUGUGCCCAAGUUUCCCUUUUUCCUUAGCCGUGUUGAAACAUGUACAGCGGUACUACCGCCACGGUAGCGGUACUACCGCCAGGACCCCAGCGGUACUACCGCCAGGGGUAGCGGUACUACCGCCAGGACCCCAGCGGUACUACCGCCAGGUAUGGCAGUACUACCGCCAGGAUUCAAAAUCUAACACGACCGGCUAGAAAAUUUCUAGGGUUUCAAGGGGGAGCGGUACUACCGCCUGGGGGAGCGGUACCACCGCCAGGACCCCAGCGGUACUACCGCUGCAUCUGGCGGUACUACCGCCAGGACCCCAGCGGUACUACCGCCAGGACCCCAGCGGUACUACCGCUGGCCCGUACCCCUUGGGCUAUAUAAAGGGAGGGGGAGCCCGAUUUUUGCAUCUGUUUCUUCUUCCUCGCGGCUCCUCCCUCCCCUAGCCCGAAACCCCCCUGUUUGGAUCUCACUUCGUGGAGCUCCUUCUCCGCGUUGGUGUAGAAGGGUUGCUUCAUCUCUUCUUCCUACUCCAAGAGCCAUGAAUCCCGGUAAAGCUCCUCCCUUCUUCUAUUUGGUUGUUCUUCGUGUUCUAGGGUUAGGAGCAUUGGGGAUUGGAUUCAUCCUGUUGAUCCUAUGGCUAGUUAUUGGAUGGCAUGUAGGAAAUAUUUGAGGGGGGUAUAGGUCCGAUGGUUUGUUGUUGUGAUUGCUGCCAUGCUCUAGGAUUUCAUCGUCUUAGAUCGAAUACUUGAACUCUUGGAUUAGAUCUAAAACGUGCUCUCUCUUGCCUAGGCAUUUUUGUACCUCUUGUUACUAUGUGUUCCUCAUGACAGGAGGGCUGGGGUGUACGUCUUAGUGUUCAUGUUCAGUCCUUGCCCUCGANNNNNNNNNNNNNNNNNNNNNNNNNNNNNNNNNNNNNNNNNNNNNNNNNNNNNNNNNNNNNNNNNNNNNNNNNNNNNNNNNNNNNNNNNNNNNNNNNNNNAGUUGGGAGCAAGUUUUUGUGUUUGUGCAGGAUCUUGAGAUACUCCUCCACUGGAUUGAUACCUUGGUUCUCAAAUUGAGGGAAAUACUUACCACCGCUACGCUACAUCACCCUUUCUGCUUCGAGGGAACACCAAUGCAAGGCUCUAAGGCCACGGGGGGAAAUCCUUUGCAUACUUGCCUAGGAAGUCCCUUAAGGCGUAGCCGCAGCAAAAAGAUCAAGCCAAGUAUUCUCCCGUCGACGUGCCUAUUUUUGGCACCAUUGGAAGGUCUUUUGUUGCAGUAGCAGAAGUAUUUCUGGCGCCAUUGCUGGGGAGGAGAUAUCAAGAUCUAUCCAAGUAGGUCUCACAAACUCUUCUCUUGCAUUUACUUUUGUUGCCAGUUGCCUCUCUUUUUCCUCUCCCCCACUUCACAUUUGCCGUUUUCAUUCGCCUUUCGCCUUCGCCGUUUUCUUUUGCCUUUGCCGUUCCCUUUCGCUCGUCCGCUCUUAGGUUUGUUCGUGAGAGACCUUUCCUCAUGGCCAAACCAAACUAUUUCAAAAAAUUGGAAGAGAUUGAAACUAAUGNNNNNNNNNNGAAGUAUUCUCCCGUCGACGUGCCUAUUUCUGGCACCGUUGGAAGGUCUUUUGUUGCAGUAGCAGAAGUAUUUCUGGCGCCGUUGCCGGGGAGGAGAUAUCAAGAUCUAUCCAAGUAGGUCUCACAAACUCUUCUCUUGCAUUUACUUUUGUUGCCAGUUGCCUCUCGUUUUCCUCUCCCCCACUUCACAUUUUCCGUUUUCAUUCGACUUUCGCCUUCGUCGUUUUCUUUUGCCUUUGCCGUUCCCUUUCGCUCAUCCGCUCUUAGGUUUGUUCGUGAGAGACCUUUCCUCGUGGCCAAACCAAACUAUUUCAAAAAAUUGGAAGAGAUUGAAACUAAUGCCAAAAGUUUCAUGUCUUCGUAGUUUGACCAAAAUAGUUACUUCCGUAGGGAAUUAAAAGAGCAAAAUUCCUUUUUGGUUUGUUUGAAUAAAGAGGUUGAUGAUAUGGCCAAUGAUUUCCUUGCACUUAGUUCUCAGUUUGCUCACCUUGAAAAAUUGGUGGGCCAAAUUUCUGACAAGCAGGCUACCUUAGUCAAUAAGAUGGCAGCUAAACCUGAAAUUUGUGAUGCAAAUCACGAAGAUCUUAAAGUUCUUGGUGUGUCUCCUCUUGAAUCUUUGUUUUCGCGUGUCAAACCUACUUAUGGAGGGGCUGGAUAUGAAUCCACUUUUGUUGAAAAACGACCCAAUGAUUUGGAGUCCACCUAUCUUGAUGAUAAAGGUGUGGAGAGUGGAGUAGAAGAAGUCAAAAUUUUGGGUAGUAAUAAAACUCCCACUUUGGAUUUCAAGGAAUUCAAUUAUGAUAAUUGCUCCUUGCUUGAAUGCAUUUCUUUUAUGCAAUCCAUUGCAAACUCUCCACAUGCUUAUAGCAAAAGCAAAGCCUUUACCGCGCAUAUCGUAGAUGCCAUGAUGAAAUCUCUUGAAGAGAAGCUCGAACUAGAAGUCUCUAUACCUAGAAAACUUCAUGAUGAAUGGGAACCUACUAUCAAAAUCAAGAUAAAAAACUAUGAGUGCAAUGCUUUGUGUGAUUUGGGUGCUAGUGUUUCCGCGAUUCCAAAGUCUUUAUGUGAUAUUCUUGGUUUUCAUGAGAUUGAAGAGUGUUCUCUUAAUUUGCAUCUUGCGGGUUAUACUAUCAAGAAACCCAUGGGGAGGAUUGAUGAUGUUCUUAUUGUUGCAAAUAAGAACUAUGUACCCGUGGAUUUCAUUGUACUUGACAUAGAUUGCAAUCCUUCAUGUCCCAUUAUUCUUGGUAGACCUUUCCUAAGGACUAUUGGUGCUAUCAUCGAUAUGAAGGAAGGGAAUAUUAGAUUUCAAUUUCCUUUAAAGAAGGGCAUGGAGGACUUUACUAGAAAGAAAAUAAGAUUGCCUUAUGAAUCUAUGAUGAGGGCUACCUAUGGUUUGAGCACCAAAGAUGACUAUACGUGAUUCCAUCACUUUCGCCUAGCAAAGGGCGUUAAACAAAAGCGCUUGUUGGGAGGCAACCCAAUGAAUCUAUCCUUUUUCUUUCUCUUUUGUGUUUUUCACACUUUCAUAAUUCUGUUAUGAUUGUGUUUUUUGUGUUUCUUUUUUGCGUUUGUGCCAAGCAAAACCGUUAUGAUUAGUCUUGGGGAUGAUCGUUUGGUCAUGCUGGAAAAGACAGAAACUUUCAGCUCACGAAAAGAAUUUUCUUGUUUUUUCUGUAAGAUCUUUUGAGUUGAUUCUUUUUGCUUCUGAUUGCUACGCAAAUUAUUCAGACUAUCAUAAUUUUUAAGAAUUUGUGAAGUACCAUAGGUAUACGAAAUAUACAGAUUGCUACAGACUGGUCUGCUGUUAACAGAUUCUGUUUUUGUUGUGUUGGUUGCUUAUCUUGAUGAAACUAUGGAUAGUAUCGGGGGGUAUUAGCCAUGGAAGAUUGAAAGUACAGUAACCCNNNNNNNNNNGUUUUUUCUGCUGAUUGCUACGCAAAUUCUUCAGACUGUCGUAAUUUUUCAGAAUUUUGGAAGUACCAUAGGUAUACGAAAUAUACAGAUUGCUACAGACUGGUCUGCUAUUAACAUAUUCUGUUUUUGUUGUGUUGGUUGCUUAUUUUGAUGAAACUAUGAAUAGUAUCGGGGGGUAUUAGCCAUGGAAGAUUGAAAGUACAGUAACCCAACAUCAGCACAAGUAGAAUUUAAGUUUGCUACACUACCUAAGGAAGUGGUGGUUUGCUUUCUUGUACUAAUGUUAUCACAAGUUUCUGUUUAAGUUUCGUGUUGUGAAGUUUUCAAGUUUUGGGUGAAGUUCUUAUGGACAAAGAGAUAAAGAGUGGCAAGAUCUCAAGCUUGGGUAUGCCCAAGGCACCCCAAGAUAUUCAAGGAUGCCGUAAAUGCCUAAGCUUGGGGAUGCCCCGGGAAGGCAUCCCCUCUCUCGUCUUCAAUCUAUCGGUAACGUUACUUGGGGCUAUAUUUUUAUUCACCACAUGUUAUGUGUUUNNNNNNNNNNUGCAAGAGCUCAAGCUUGGGGAUGCCCAAGGCACCCCAAGAUAUUCAAGGAUGCCGUAAAAUCCUAAGCUUGGGGAUGCCCCGAGAAGGCAUCCCCUCUCUCGUCUUCAAUCCAUCANNNNNNNNNNNNNNNNNNNNNNNNNNNNNNNNNNNNNNNNNNNNNNNNNNNNNNNNNNNNNNNNNNNNNNNNNNNNNNNNNNNNNNNNNNNNNNNNNNNNAAGUGCUAGUUCCUGUUUUUUCCGUGUUUUUGACUCUUUUUAGAUCUGAUUUUGGUACGGAGUCCAAACGGAAGAAAAACCCCGAAAUGAUUUUUCCCGAACGGAAGAAGAUCAGGGGGCCUUUGGGCCAAGCCAGGUGGGCUCCAGGGAGCCCACAAGCCCCCACUCCGCCACCAGGGGGAGGCGGCGGUGGGCAGGCUUGUGGCCUCCCGGGCCGCCCCCUGACCUAGAUCUUUGUCCUAUAAAUUCCCAAAUAUUCCGCAAAAAAUCAGGGGAGCCUCGAAAAUACUUUUCCACCGCCGCAAACUUCCGUUUCCGCGAGAUCUCAUCUGGAGACCCUUCCUGGCACCCUGCCGGAGGGGACUUUGGAGUUGGAGGGCUUCAUCAUCAUCAUCAUCGCCCCUCCAAUGACUCGUGAGUAGUUCACUUCAGACCUACGGGUCCGUAGUUAGUAGCUAGAUGGCUUCUUCUCUCUCUUGGAUCUUCAAUACAAAGUUCUCCAUGAUCUUCAUGGAGAUCUAUCCGAUGUAAUCUUCUUUGGCGGUGUGUUUGUCGAGAUCCAUGAAUUGUGGAUUGGUGAUCAGAUUAUCUCUGAUAUAUAUUUGAGUCUUUGCUGAUUUCUUAUAUGCAUGAUUUGAUANNNNNNNNNNUUCUUUGCUGAUUUAUUAUAUGCAUGAUUUGAUAUCCUUGUAAGUCUCUCCGAGUCUUGGGUUNNNNNNNNNNAUCCGAUAAAUUGUGGAUUUGUGAUCAGAUUAUCUAUGAUAUAUAUUUGAGUCUUUGCUGAUUUCUUAUAUGCAUGAUUUGAUANNNNNNNNNNGGUUUUGCUGAUUUCUUAUAUGCAUGAUUUGAUAUCCUUGUAAGUCUAUCCGAGUCUUGGGUUUUGUUUGGCCAACUAGAUCUAUGAUUCUUGCAAUGGGAGAAGUGCUUGGUUUUGGGUUCUGCCAUGUGGUGACCUUUCCCAGUGACAGUAGGGGCAGCAAGGCACACAUCAAGUAGUUGCCAUCAAGGGUAAAAAGAUGGGGUUUUUNNNNNNNNNNNNNNNNNNNNNNNNNNNNNNNNNNNNNNNNNNUAAGGCGUUACUCUAUUAUUAUGGACUUAAUACACUAGAUGCAUGCUGGAUAGCGGUCGACGUGUGGAGUAAUAGUAGUAGAUGCAGACAGUAUCGUUCUACUUGUUUUGGACGUGAUGCCUAUAGAAAUAAUCAUUGCAUAGAUAUCAUCACGACUUUUUGCGGUUCUAUCAAUGCUACAUCACCCUUUCUGCUUCGAGGGAACACCAAUGCAAGGCUCCAAGGCCAUGGGGGAAAUCCUUUGCAUACUUGCCUAGGAAGUCCCUUAAGGCGUAGCNNNNNNNNNNCGGACGUGAUGCCUAUAGAAAUAAUCAUUGCAUAGAUAUCGUCGUGACUUUGCGCGGUUCUAUCAAUUGCUCGACAGUAAUUUGUUCAUCCACCGUCUACUUGCUUUCAUGAGAGAAGCCACUAGUAAACACAACGGCCCCCGGGUCUAUUCACAUCCAUCGUUUACAUCUCCGCUUUUACUUUGCUUUGUUACUUUGUUGCUUUCAGUUNNNNNNNNNNNNNNNNNNNNNNNNNNNNNNNNNNNNNNNNNNNNNNNNNNNNNNNNNNNNNNNNNNNNNNNNNNNNNNNNNNNNNNNNNNNNNNNNNNNNCCUAGGUCCUUCAUAGAGAAACUUUUAUUCAAGUAACCUUUUAUGCUCUCCAAAAGCUCUACGUUGUUUCCAAUCAGCAAUAUGUCAUCCACAUAUAAUAUUAGAAACGCCAUAGAGCUCCCACUCACUUUCUUGUAAAUACAAGAUUCUCCAACCACUUGUAUAAACCCAAAUGCUUUAAUCACCUCAUCAAAGCGCUUGUUCCAACUCCGAGAUGCUUGCGCCAGUCCAUAAAUGGAUCGCUGGAGCUUGCACACCUUGUCAGCAUUUUUAGGAUCGACAAAACCUUCGGUUGCAUCAUAUACAACUCUUCCUUAAGGAAACCAUUAAGGAAUGCCGUUUUGACAUCCAUCUGCCAGAUUUCAUAAUCGAAAAAUGCAGCUAUUGCUAACAUGAUUCUGACGGACUUAAGCAUCGCUACGGGUGAGAAGGUCUCAUCGUAGUCAACUCCUGGAACUUGUGAAAAACCCCUUGCCACAAGUCGAGCUUUAUAAACGGUCACAUUACCGUCAGCGUCCGNNNNNNNNNNAAUCGAAAAAACCUUCGGGUUGCAUCAUAUACAACUCUUCCUUAAGGAAACCGUUAAGGAACGCCGUUUUGACAUCCAUCUGCCAGAUUUCAUAAUCGAAAAAUGCAGCUAUUGCUAACAUGAUUCUUACGGACUUAAGCAUCGCUACGGGAGAGAAAGUCUCAUCGUAGUCAAUUCCUGGAACUUGUGAAAAACCCUUUGCCACAAGUCGAGCUUUAUAAACGGUCACAUUACCGUCAGCGUCCGNNNNNNNNNNNNNNNNNNNNNNNNNNNNNNNNNNNNNNNNNNNNNNNNNNNNNNNNNNNNNNNNNNNNNNNNNNNNNNNNNNNNNNNNNNNNNNNNNNNNGCAAUAAACAAGAUCCAGAUAUAAUGUUCAUGCUCAACGCACGCACUAAAUAACAAUGAUUUAAGUUCAUCACUAAUCCCGAUGGUAGUUGAAGUGACACUGCACCGACGGCGAUUGCAUCAACCUUGGAACCGUUUCCUACGCGCAUCGUCACUUCGUCUUUCGUCAGCCUUCGUCUAUUCCGCAGUUCCUGCUUCGAGUUGCAAAUGUGAGCAACAGAACCGGUAUCGAAUACCCAGGCACUACUACGAGAGCCGGUUAAGUACACAUCAAUAACAUGUAUAUCAAAUAUACCUGAUUUUUCUUUGCCCGCCUUCUUAUCUGCCAGAUACUUGGGGCAAUUGCGCUUCCAGUGACCCAUACCCUUGCAAUAGAAGCACUCUGUUUCAGGCUUAGGUCCAGCCAUGGGUUUCUUCGGCGGAUUGGCAACAGGCUUGCCGCUCUUCUUCGAAUUGCCCUUCUUGCCUUUGCUGUUUCUCUUGAAACUAGUGGUCUUGCUCACCAUCAACACUUGAUGCUCUUUUCGGAGUUCUGACUCUCCGACUUUCAGCAUCGCAAACAACUCGCCGGGAGACUUGUUCAUCCCUUGCAUGUUGUAGUUCAACACAAAGCCUUUAAAGCUUGGCGGCAGUGAUUGGAGGAUUCUGUUAGUGAUAGCUUCUUGCGGGAGUUCAAUCCCCAGUUCAGCUAGACGGUUUGAGUACCCAGACAUUUUGAGCACAUGUUCACUGACAGACGAGUUUUCCUCCAUCUUGCAAGCAUAGAAUUUAUCGGAGGUCUCAUACCUCUCGAUCCGGGCGUUCUUCUGAAAGAUAAACUUCAACUCCUGGAACAUCUCAAAUGCUCCAUGACGCUCAAAGCGACGUUGAAGUCCCGGCUCUAAGCCAUACAAGACUGCACAUUGAACUAUUGAGUAGUCCUCCUUACGUGCUAACCAAGCGUUCUUAACAUCCUGAUCAGCCGUAGCGGGUGGUUCAUCUCCUAGCGCAGCAUUAUGGACAUAAUCCUUCUUUCCAGCUUGUAAGAUUAGCUUAAGAUUACGAGCCCAGUCUACAAAGUUGCUUCCAUCAUCUUUCAACUUAGCUUUCUCUAGGAACGUAUUAAAAUUCAGGAUGACACUUGCGUGAGCCAUGAUCUACAACACAAAUAUAUUCAAAAUGGACUUAGACUAUGUUCAAGAUAAUUAGAGUUCAACUUAAUCAAAUUAUAUGCUAAACUCCCACUCAAAAAGUACAUCUCUCUAGUCAUUUGAGUGGUUCAUGAUCCACUUACACUAUCCCAAGUCCGAUCAUCANNNNNNNNNNNNNNNNNNNNNNNNNNNNNNNNNNNNNNNNNNNNNNNNNNNNNNNNNNNNNNNNNNNNNNNNNNNNNNNNNNNNNNNNNNNNNNNNNNNNCAUUGGUUUGAGUUUAUCCCUCUACAUCAUGUCAUCUUGCUUAAGGCGUUACUCUGUUCGUCAUGAACUCAAUACACUAGAUGCAUGCUGGAUAGAGGUCGAUGUGUGGAGUAAUAGUAGUAGAUGCAGAAAGUAUCGAUCUACUUGUCUCGGACGUGAUGCCUAUAUGUAUGAUCAUUGCCUUAGAUAUCGUCAUGACUUUGCGCGGUUAUAUCAAUUGCUCGACAGUAAUUUGUUCAUCCAUUGUAUUAUUUGCUAUUUUGAGAGAAGCCUCUAGUGAACACUAUGGCCCCCGGGUCUACUUCACACCAUAUUUUCAGCCUUACACUUUUACUUCGUUGCACUUUCCUCCUUCAGAUCUCACUUUGCAAUCAAUCUUGAAGGGAUUGACAACCCCUUUAUAGCAUUGGGUGCAAGCUCUUUUGUGUUUGCGCAGGUAAUCUGGACUUGACGCGAUUCUCCUACUGGAUUGAUACCUUGGUUCUCAAACUGAGGGAAAUACUUACUGCUCAUGUGCUGCAUCACCCUUUCCUCUUCAAGGGAAAAACCAACGCAAGCCCAGUCUCCGUCAACGUGCCAAUCUCUGGCGCUGUUGUCUGUUGCCGUAGCACCCCCUCCAGGGGGACUGGGCGAGCUGUUCAGUUUCGGGUCUACUGAGCGGCCUCGAAGUGCAAGGAUACCUUCCUGCUUCAGAUCUAACAUCCACCUGCCCCGGAUUAACUUCCACGAACGGUGAGGCCCUUGCAGAGAACUUCCCAACUCCUUGCAAGGAAGAGAGGGUAUGCUUCGUUCCCAUCCUCUUAUGAGGUUUAGGCUUCCCAUUCACCCCUUCUUAAUGGGCCUGCUAGAGUUUUACGGGAUCUAGCUUCAUCAUCUUACUCCUGGAUCCAUUCUUCAUAUUUAUGGCUAUGUUGCCCUUUGCGAGAUGUUCUUAGGAUGCGGGACCCAUUUUGAACCGGGGAGGAAAAAUUUCUGCCUUGUCCCUCGCACACGAGGAGGGAAUGUUUUUUAGGUAGGCGGAGCCGAAGUGUGGCGCAUAGGUGGGACGGGGUAUCCUAUUGGGACUCCAAAGAAGGAUUCCGAAGAAUGGACCUUAGAGUGGUUUUAUAUCAAGGAUGUCCCCCUAUUUGAUCCAUCUUGGAGGGGUCUACCCGAAUAUUCAAAUGUUCCUUGAUGUCUACUACACAACUUUAUUAUUGUAGACUACGUUGGGCCUCCAAGUGUAGAGUUUUGUAGGACAGUAGCAAUUUCCCCUCAAGUGGAUGACCUAAGGUUUAUCAAUCCAUGGAAGGUGUAGGAUGAAGAUGGUCUCUCUCAAACAACCGUGCAAUCAAAUACAAAAAAUAUCUAGUGUCCCCAACACACCCAAUACAAUGGAAAAUUGUAUAGGUGCACUAGUUCGGUGAAGAGAUGGUGAUACAAGUGUAAUAUGGAUAGUAGAUAUAGGUUUUUGUAAUCUUAAAAUAUAAGAACAACGAGGUAGCAUGUUUAAAACAAUGAGAAAAACAUUGUAUAAAUGCUUGGUAAUAGGGCCUAGGGUUCGUACUUUCACUAGUGCAAUCUCUCAACAAUGUUAACAUAGUAGAAUCAUAUGAUCAUCCCUCAACGUGCAACAAAGAGUCACUCCAAAGUUCCUAUAUAAUGGAGAACAAUAAGAUGAAAUUGAUGUAGGUAAUAGAACCAUCUCAUAGUAUUCAUGCCAUGUUUACAAUAGUUAUAUAUGAUUUUAGUACGACUUUUUUAGAACUAACUCGGACUGACGUUGUUUUCAGCAAAACUACCAUGGUGUCAUUUUUUGUGCAAAAAUAAAGUUCUCGGAAUGGGCUGAAAAUUUACGGUGAUUUUUAUGGACCAAAAGAGACCCCCGAAGCACCAGAGCUGGGCCAGGAAGUGGAUGAGGAAGCCACAAGCCUACUGGACGCGGCCACCCCCUAGGUCGCGCCCCCUGGCUUGUGACUUCCUCGGGGAACCUUCCGAAUGUGAGACCGACGCCAAAAGUUCCUAUAAAUACCAAAAACCCAAGAAAGAAACCUAGAUCGGGAGUUUCGCCGCCGCAAGCCUCCAGAGCCAUGAAAAAACAAUCUUGGCCCUCUCCGACACCCUGCUGGAGGGGGUCAUCUUCAUCGGAGGCCAUCUUCAUCAUCCCGACGAUCUCCAUAAUUGCCAUGGAGGCCACUCAAGGGGGAGACCAUGGAGGAGGAAGCACAAGGGGGAAAACCUUUCUCUCUCUCUCUUGGUGGCGCCGGAGUGGCAUCGGGGGAACCAUCGCCGUGAUGAUCGUCUUCACCAACAUCACCUUUUUCAUCACCAUCAUCAUCUCCUUUCAGCGGUCCACUCUCACGCACCUCACUGUAAUCCCCUACUCGAACAUGGUGCUUUAUGCCGCAUAUUAUGAUUUAGUGAUGUGUUGCCAUCCUAUGAUGUUUGAGUAGAUUUAUUUUGUCCUUUGGGUUGAUUGAUGAUCUAGAUUGGUGUGAGUUCUAUAUUUAUUUUGGUGUUGUCGUAUGGUGCCUUCCAUGAUGCGCACACGUGAAAGAUUCCUGUUGUAGGGUGUUGCAAUGCGUUCAUGAUUCGCUUAUAGUGGGUUGCUUGAGUGACAGAAGCACAAACCCGAGUAAGGGGGUUGUUGCAUAUGGGAUAAAGGGGACUUGAUACUUUAAUGGUAUGGUUGGGUUUUACCUUAAUGAUCUUUAGUAGUUGCGGAUGCUUGCUAGAGUUCCAAUCAUAAGUGCAUAUGAUCCAAGUAGAUAAAAUAUGUUAGCUUAUGCCUCUCCCUCAUAUAAAAUUGCAAUAAUGAUUACCGAUCUUGUUAACAAUUGCCUAGGACAAUUCCGCACANNNNNNNNNNNNNNNNNNNNNNNNNNNNNNNNNNNNNNNNNNNNNNNNNNNNNNNNNNNNNNNNNNNNNNNNNNNNNNNNNNNNNNNNNNNNNNNNNNNNNNNNNNNNNNNNNNNNNNNNNNNNNNNNNNNNNNNNNNNNNNNNNNNNNNNNNNNNNNNNNNNNNNNNNNNNNNNNNNNNNNNNNNNNNNUUAUUCUAGUUCUCCAUUAUCAUGCAAAGCUAUUCUCUUCAUACCCACAACAUAGUUUUAUUUCUCGUUUUUAGUUGGAAGCAAACGUUCGGCGUACGUAGAGUCGUAUCAUUGGCAAAUAGGACAUGAGAUAAUAUUGAUCUUACCUUUAGCUCCUUGUGGGUUCGACACUCCAUACUUAUCACUUCCACCUUUGGAAAUUGCUACUAUGAUUCCUUGCACUGGGGGAUUAUCAAGCUCUUUUCUGGCGCCGUUGUGGGAAGCAAUAGCAUGGGGUUGGUAUUCUUGUGUGUGUUUAUUUGCUUUCUUCACUAAGUAGAUUUUGUUUCCCCUUUUUGGUUUAUUUAGUUGUGGGUGAAACAAAAAAAAUGAAAAAUAUAAAAAGAAUUACUUGCCCCUUAUGCCUAAGAAGUUUUUCAAAAAGAGAAGUGAUUAGAAAGUUGUGCAUUGGAGAAGUGAUGAUCGACCUUGAACACUUGUGUUCAUGCUGAUGAAAAAAAUGUAGAAUUUUUCAUGGAAGUUUCUCAAAAAUAAUUAUCCCCAUGUAUAUAUCCUUUGUAUUAUAAAAAUAAUGUGUCAAGAUUUGGUUUUAGGAUGAUUAGAUAGCUUGUUUUCUUUGCGCGGUGCAAAAACAGAAACUUUGACUGUAGUGCAUGAAUUUUAUUUUUUUACUGGAUCGUCAAAAGUUUCCGAAAAUUUUAAAAAGUACUACUAUAAUUUUUUUUUAAUUUUUUCCUAAAUUUUCAGAAUUUUUUGAGUUACAUAAGUAUGUGAAGUUUCCAAAAUGCUAUAGACUGUUGUGUUGUUGACAGAUUAUGUUUCCUAUGCAUUGUUCUCUUAUUUUGAUGAAUCUAUGGAUAAUACCGGGGGGUAUGAACCAUGGUAAAGUUGGACUACAAUAUAUAUAAUGCUAAUAUGAAUUUGGAAUGAGUUCACAACAGUACUUAAAGUAGUAUUUUUCUUUAUUAUACUAACGGAUCUCACGAGGGUUUUGUUAAUUUUUGUAUGAAUAAAGUGUUCGAAGAUCGACGGUAUCGAUAAAAGAAGAAUACGGAGAUACAAGAGUUCAAACUUGGGGAUUUCCAAGGCACCCCAAGUAAAUAUUUCAAGUAGGCUCAAGCAUCUAAGCUUGGGGAUGCCCCGGAAGGUAUCCCAUCUUUAUUCUUCGAUAAUUAUCGGUAUACCUCGGUUUUUGUUUUGUUCACAUGAUAUGCGUAUUUAGUGUUUUUCUUCUCCUUUUAUGCACCCUUAUAGUAUGAGGUAGUCCUUCAUUGAUUUAUAAAAUACUUCAUGAUCUUCACUUAAAUCUUUUGAGUAUAGCUUUGUAGAAUACUCUUUGUGCUUCACUUAAAUCUUUUGAGUAUGGCUUUGUAGAAUGCUCUUUGUGCUUCACUUAAAUCUUUUGAGUAUGGCCUUAUAGAAUGUUUCGUGUGCUUCACUUAUAUAUUUUAAGCUUGGAUAUUGGUUGAUCUAUAUUAAUUGUAGAAUGCUCUAUGAACUUCACUUAUAUCUUUUAGAGUAUGAAUAAAAUUUCCGUCGGAAUUGGGCUUGGAAGUGUAUCAAUGUCAUGCCUAGCUAGAAAGGCUUUAAAGAAAAGCUUGUUGGGAGAUGAUACGUCCAUUUUGCAUCAUGUUUUCAUGUCGAUAUUUAUAGCUUCUUUGGCUGUUAUUUCACUUCAUGGUACUAUCCUUAUGCCUUUUCUCUCUUAUUUUGCAAGGUUUACAUGAAGAGGGAGAAUACCGACAACUUGAAUUCUGGCCUGAAAGUGGAGCGAAGUUGAGAUACCUAUUCUGCGCAACUCCAAACGCCGUGAAAAUCAACGGGGAUUUUUUUCCCAAUAUAUAAAAAAUACUGGGCCGAAGAAGUACCGGAGGGNNNNNNNNNNUACCUUCGGAGAUACCUGUAGAGCAUCUUUAUAGUCAUCCAUUUACGUUGCGACGUUUGAUACACACAAAGCAUUCCUCCGGUGUCAGUGAGUUAUAUGAUCUCAUGGUCAUAGGAAUAAAUACUUGACACGCAGAAAACAGUAGCAACAAAAUGACACGAUCAACAUGCUACGUCUAUUAGUUUGGGUCUAGUCCAUCACGUGAUUCUCCCAAUGACAUGAUCCAGUUAUCAAGCAACAACACCUUGUUCAUAAUCAGAAGACACUGACUAUCAUCGAUCAACUGGCUAGCCAACUAGAGGCAUGCUAGGGACGGUGUUUUGUCUAUGUAUCCACACAUGUAAAUGAGUCUUCAUUCAAUACAAUUAUAGCAUGGAUAAUAAACUAUUAUCUUGAUACAGGAAUUAUAAUAAUAACUAUACAUUUAUUAUUGCCUCUAGGGCAUAAUUCCAACAGUCUCCCACUUGCACUAGAGUCAAUAAUCUAGCCCUCACAUCACCAUGUGAAUUACAUUGUAAUAAAUCUAACACCCAUACAGUUUGGUGUCGAUCAUGUUUUGGCCAUGGAAGAGGUUUAGUCAGCGGGUCUGCUACAUUCAGAUCCGUGUGCACUUUGCAUAUAUUUACGUCCUCCUCCUCGACGUAGUCGCGGAUGAGGUUGAAGCGUCGUUUGAUGUGUCUGGUCUUCUUGUGAAACCUUGGUUCCUUUGCUAAGGCAAUGGCACCAGUAUUGUCACAGAACAAGGUUAUUGGAUCCAGUGCACUUGGCACCACUCCAAGAUCCGUCAUGAANNNNNNNNNNUAGAGAUCCCUUAGCAUGUGACGAUUGCUUCCACCUCAUACUAGCCAAAACUCCCGCACUAAGUAGAGAUACUACUUGUGCAUCCAUAAUCCUUCAAACCAGUUUUGCCAUGAGUGUCCACCAUACCUACCUAUGGAUUGAAUAAGAUCCCUCAAGUAAGUUGUCAUCGGUGCAAGCAAUAAAAAUUGUUCUCUAAUAUGUAUGAUCUAUUAGUGUGUGGAAAAUAAGCUUCGUACAAACGUGUGAUGAGGAAGACAUAAAAGUGACACACUGCAUAAUAAAGUUCUUUAUCAUAGGGGGCAAUACAAAGUGACAUUCCUCCGCACUAAGAGGACACGCAUCCAAACCUCAAAAGCGCAUGACAACCUCUGCUUCCCUCUGCGAAGGGCCUAUCUUGUACCUUUACUUUUUGCCCUUGAAAGAGUCAUGGUGAUCUUCACCAAUUCCUUAUUUUUCCUUUGUCUUGGCUACCGUCAUAUGCUUGGGAAAGAUCUAUAUUCAUAUGUCAACUUGGAGGUAAGUAUUCAUGAAUUAUUAUUGUUGACAUUACCCUUGAGGUAAGCAGUUGGGAGGCAAAACUACAAGCCCCUAUCUUUCUCUGUGUCCAGCUGAAACUUUGAUCUCAUGAGUACCCCGUGAGUUGUAGCAAUUGUAGAGAAUGAAAGAAUGAUUGAGUAUGUGGAUUUUAUUUACAAGCUCUUAUUUGACUCUUUCUGAUGUUGUGAUAAAUUACAAUUGCUUCAAUGACUAAAGGCUAUCGGUUGUUACUUCUCGGUAAGGUUCUUGAUCCAUGCUUUACAUUGUGAAGGAAUUAUCACUUUAGCAUGAGAGAUUAUAUGUUGGUAUUGAUGUUCUCAUAAUGAUCUUGAUGCUUGCAUGUUCGUAUCUUGUUUUGUCGACACCUCUCUCCCUAAACAUGUGGACAUAUUUAUUGAGCUCAGCUUUCGCUUGAGGACAAGCGAGGUCUAAGCUUGGGGGAGUUGAUACGUCCAUUUUGCAUCAUGUUUUCAUGUUGAUAUUUAUCGCUUCUUUGGUUGUUAUUUAACUUCAUGGUACUAUUCUUAUUCCUUUUCUCUCUUAUUUUGCAAGGUUUACAUGAAGAGGGAGAAUACCGGCAACUUGAAUUCUGGCCUGAAAGUGGAGCGAAGUUGAGAUACCUAUUAUGCGCAACUCCAAACGCCGUGAAAAUCAAUGGGGAUUUUUUCCCAAUAUAUAAAAAAUACUGGGCCGAAGAAGUACCGGAGGGNNNNNNNNNNUGCCAUGGGGGCUUGUGGGCAGCCCACUGGCCCACUGGCCCCCCUCAUUUGCUAUAUGGAGGGUUUCGUCCAGAAAAAAAUCACGGGGGAGCUUUUUCAUGGUUUCGCCGCCGCCACGAGGCGGAACUUGAGCAGAACCAAUCUAGANNNNNNNNNNGCACCAGGGGGUGCCCACAAGCCUGCACGGCGCGGCCACCCCCCCAGGCCGCGCCAUGGGGGCUUGUGGGCGGCCCACUGGCCCACUGGCCCCCCUCUUUUGCUAUAUGGAGGGUUUCGUCCAGAAAAAAAAUCACAGGGGAGCUUUUUCGUGGUUUCGCCGCCGCCACGAGGCGGAACUUGAGCAGAACCAAUCUAGAGCUCCGCUAGGACGAUCCUGUCGGGGAAACUUCCCUCCCGGAGGGGGAAAUCGUCGCCAUCAUCAUCACCAACACUCCUCUCAUCGGAGGGGACUCGUCACCAUCAACAUCUUCAUCAGCACCAUCUCAUCUCCAAACCCUAGUUCAUCUCUUGUAACCAAUCUCCGUCUCGCGACUCCGAUUGGUACUUGUAAGGUUGCUAGUAGUGUUGAUUACUCUUUGUAGUUGAUGCUAGUUGGAUUACUUGGUGGAAGAGUUUAUGGUCAGAUCCUUGAUGCUACUCAUUACACCUCUGAUCAUCAUAAUGAUUAUGCUUUGUGAGUAGUUACUUUUGUUCCUGAGGACAUGGGAUAAGUAAUGCUAAUAAUAGUCAUAUGAAUUUGGCAUUCGUUCGGUAUUUUGAUAUGUUGUAUGUUGUUUUUCCUCUAGUGGUGUUAUGUGAACGUCGACUACAUAACACUUCACCAUUAUUUGGGCCUAGAGGAAGGCAUUGAGAAGUAGUAAGUACAUGAUGGGUUGCUAGAGUGACAGAAGCUUAAACCCUAGUUUAUGCGUUNNNNNNNNNNCUUAUGUGAACGUCGACUACAUAACACUUCACCAUUAUUUGUGCCUAGAGGAAGGCAUUGAGAAGUAGUAAGUAGAUGAUGGGUUGCUAGAGUGACAGAAGCUUAAACCCUAGUUUAUGCGUUNNNNNNNNNNCGGUUAGACUUUGUCUUAAUUCUUCUUUCAUAGUUGCAGAUGCUUGCGAGAGGGGUUAAUCAUAAGUGGGAUGCUUGUCCAAGUAAGGGCAGUACCCAAGCGCCGGUCCACCCACAUAUCAAACUAUCAAAGUAACGAAUGUGAAUCAUAUGAACAUGAUGAAACUAGCAUGACAGAAAUUCCCGUGUGUCCUUGGGAGCGUUUUUCCUCUUGUAAGACUUUGUCCAGGCUUGUCCCUUGCUACAAAAGGGAUUGGGACACUUUGCUGCACCGUUGCUACUUUUGUUAUUUGUUGCUUGCUACGAAUCAUCUCACCACACAAUCACUUGUUACCAACAAUUUCAGUGCUUGCAGAUUGAUACGUCUCAAACGUAUCUAUAAUUUUUGAUGGUUUCACGCUGUUAUCUUGUCUUCUUUGGUUGUUUUAUGUACCUUUUAUAUCUUUUUUGGGACUAACUUAUUAAUUCAGUGCCAAGUGACAGUUCCUGUUUUUUCCGUGUUUUUGACUCUUUUCGGAUAUGAUUUUGGAACGGAGUCCAAACGGAAGAAAAACCCCGAAAUGAUUUUNNNNNNNNNNUGGUUAGACUUUGUCUUAAUUCUUAUUUCGUAGUUGCGGAUGCUUGCGAGAGGGGUUAAUCAUAAGUGCGAUUCUUGUCCAAGUAUGGGCAGUACCCAAGCGCCGGUCCACCCACAUAUCAAACUAUCAAAGUAACGAACGCGGAUCAUAUGAACAUGAUGAAACUAGCAUGACAUAAAUUCCCGUGUGUCCUCAGGAGCGUUUUUCCUCUUGUAAGACUUUGUCUAGGUUUGUCCCUUGCUACAAAAGGGACUGGGCCACUUUGCUGCAGUGUUGCUACUUUUGUUACUUGUUGCUUGCUACGAAUCAUCUCACCACACAAUCACUUGUUACCGACAAUUUCAGUGCUUGCAGAUUUUUCCUUGCUGAAAACCACUUGUCAGAUCCUUCUGCUCCUCGNNNNNNNNNNUGGACAUGAUGCCUAUAGAAAUAAUCAUUGCAUAGAUAUCGUCACGACUUUACGCGGUUCUAUCAAUUGCUCGACGGUAAUUUGUUCACCCACCAUCUACUUGCUUUCAUGAGAGAAGCCACUAGUAAACACUACGGUCCCCGGGUCUAUUCACAUCCAUCAUUUACAUCUCCGCUUUUACUUUGCUUUGUUACUUUGUUGCUUUCAGUUCUCACUUGGCAAACAAUCUAUAAGGGAUUGACAACCCCUUCAUAGAGUUGGGAGCAAGUUUUUGUGUUUGUGCAGGAUCUUGAGAUACUCCUCCACUGGAUUGAUACCUUGGUUCUCAAACUGAGGGAAAUACUUACCACCGCUACGCUACAUCACCCUUUCCGCUUUGAGGGAACACCAACACAAGGCUCCAAGGCCACGGGGGAAAUCCUUUGCAUACUUGCCUAGGAANNNNNNNNNNAACUGGAUUGAUAUCUUGGUUCUCAAACUGAGGGAAAUACUUACCACCGCUAUGCUACAUCACCCUUUCUGCUUCGGGGGAACACCAACGCAAGGCUCCAAGGCCACGGGGGAAAUCCUUUGCAUACUUGCCUAGGAAGUCCCUUAAGGCGUAGCCGCAGCAGAAAGAUCAAGCCAAGUAUUCUCCCGUCGACGUGCCUAUUUCUGGCGCGUUGGAAGGUCUUUUGUUGCAGUAGUAGUGCACAAAACCCACCAUUAGCCUCCCUCAAAACAGCAUGAUUGUAAGAUAGCUAGCAUGAUGUUUCCAUUGAUGCCUAUGCCAUGCUAGAUCAUUCCCACGGUACACUACCGAAGGCAUUCCAAAUAGAGUCAUCGUUACUCUAAAUUUUGAGUUGAAAGUGUGAUGAUCAUCAUUAAUGGAGCAUUGUCCCAUGUGAGGAAAUAAAAGAGGCCAAAGAAGCCCACCAAAAUAUAAACAAAGGCCAAAGAGCCCACCAAAUAAAAAAUGAGAGAAAAAGAGAGAAGGGACAAUGCUACCACUUUUUCCACACUUGUGCAUAAUAAGCACCAUGAUCUUCAUGAUUGAGAGUCUCUCGUUUUGUCACCACCAUAUAGCUAGUGGGAAAUUUUCAUUAUAUAACUAGGCUUGUAUAUUCCUAUGAUAGGCUUCCUCAAAAUUGCCUUAGGUCUUCGUGAGCAAGCAAGUUGGAUGCACACCCACUAGUUUUCUUUAAGAGCUUUCACAUACUCAUAGCUCUAGUGCAUCAAUUGUAUGGCAAUCCCUACUCAUUCACAUUGAUAUCUAUUGAUGAGCACCUCCACGGCUCAUUGAUAUGCCUAGUUAAUGUGACUAUCUUCUCCUUUUUGUCUUGCAACCUCCACUACAUUCCACACCACCUAUAGUACUAUAACCAUGGCUCACGCUCAUGUAUUGCGUGAGAGUUGAAAAGGUUUGAGAAAGUAAAGGUGUGAAACAAUUACUUGGCCCAUACCGGGGUUGUGCAUGAUUUAAAUUCAUUGUGCAAUGAUGAUAGAGCAUAGCCAGACUAUAUGCUUUUGUAGGGAUAACUUUCUUUUGGCCUUGUUAUUUUGAAAGUUCAUGACUACUUUGCUAGUUUGCUUGAAUUAUUAUUGUUUCCACGUCAAUAGAAAACUAUUGUUUUGAAUCUAAUGGAUCUAAACAUUCACAUCACAUAAGAGGAAUUACAAAGGACACCUAUGCUAGGUAGCAUGAAAGCAUCAAAAAUUCAUUCUUAUCACUUCCCUACUCGAGGACGAGCAGAAGUUAAGCUUGGGGAUGCUUGAUACGUCUCAAACGUAUCUAUAAUUUUUUAUGGUUUCACGUUGUUAUCUUGUCUUCUUUGGUUGUUUUAUGUACCUUUUAUAUCUUUUUGGGGACUAACUUAUUAAUUCAGUGCCAAGUGCCACUUCCUGUUUUUUCUGUGUUUUUGACUCUUUUCAUAUCUGAUUUUGGAACGGAGUCCAAACGGAAGAAAAACCCCGAAAUGAUUUUUUCCCGAACGGAAGAAGAUCAGGGGGCCUUUGGGCCAACCCAGGUGGGCUCCAAGGAGCCCACAAGCUCCCACCACGCCACCAGGGGGGAGGCGGCGGUAGGCAGGCUUGUGGCCACCCUCGCCGCCCCCUGACCUAGAUCUUUGGCCUAUAAAUUCCAAAUAUUCCGCAAAAAAUCAGGGGAGCCUCGAAAAUACUUUUCCGCCGCCGCAAGCUUCCGUUUCCGCGAUAUCUCAUCUGGAGACCCUUCCCGGCACCUUGCCGGAGGGGACUUUGGANNNNNNNNNNUCCCACCACGCCACCAGGGGGAGGCGGCGGUGGGCAGGCUUGUGGCCUCCCUGGCCGCCCCCUGACCUAGAUCUUUGGCCUAUAAAUUCCCAAAUAUUCCGCAAAAAAUCAAGGGAGCCUCGAAAAUACUUUUCCGCCACCGCAAGCUUCCGUUUCCACGAGAUCUCAUCUCGAGACCCUUCCCGGCACCCUGCCGGAGGGGACUUUGGAGUUGGAGGGCUUGUUCAUCAUCAUCAUCGCCCCUCCAAUGACUCAUGAGUAGUUCACUUCAGACCUACGGGUCCGUAGUUAGUAUCUAGAUGGCUUCUUCUCUCUCUUGGAUCUUCAAUACAAAGUUCUCCGUGAUCUUCAUGGAGAUNNNNNNNNNNCGUUGGAAGGUCUUUUGUUGCAGUAGCACAGAUUUUUCCUUGCUGAAAACCACUUGUCAGAUCCUUCUGCUCCUCGUUGGGUUCGACACUCUUACUUAUCGAAAGGACUACGAUUGAUCCCCUAUACUUGUGGGUCAUCAGGAGACAACCCAACACUUUUACUUUUUGUUUUUUGGUGUUCGCAUGAUUAAGCUACUGUAUUAAUCAUGUUUUAUGCUUUUUAUUUCAAUAAAAUGCCAAGUAAAGCCUUUGGGAUAGUGUAGGUGACAGUUGACUUGAUUCCGUGCAAAAAACAGAAACUUUUGCUCUCAGUCCAGAAAUUUUGUAAAUCCACUAGAACGUGAUUUUGAUCUGAAUUUUUUACACAUGAUUGAUAUACAAAUUGCUUGGAUUUUCCUAAUGUUUCAGAAUUUUUAGAGACACAGAAGUAUGGUUACAUUACAGAUCUUCACACACUGUUCUGUUUUUGACAGAUUCUGUUUUGCAUGCAUAGUUUGCUUUUUUUAUUAUUUCCAUAGCUUAUAUUCAGUGAUAUAAAUUACGGGGUGGUAGAAUGCAGUAGGUAUCAUGUUAGAACAAUUAUGAAUCUUUUCUUGAUAGUACCUAAGUGAAUGUUCAUUAUUUUUUAUACUAACCCAUCUCACGAAGUUCCGUUAAGUUUUGUGUGAUUGAAGUUUUCAAGUUUUGGGAGACACCAAUAUGAGGAGAAUAAGGAGUGAAAAUAACCUAAGCUUGGGGAUGUCCAAGGCACACCCAAGGUAAUAUAUAAGUAAGACUCAAACUCUUAAGCUUGGGGAUGCCCCGAAAGGCAUCCCCUCUUUCGUCUUCAACAUUAUCGGUAUAUCUUACUUGGAGCUAUAUUUUUAUUCGUCACAUAAUAUGUGCUUUGCUUGUAUCGUCAUUAUAUUUUGUUAUUUUAUGUUAGGUGUUACUCAUAAUCUUGUUUUUCAAUAAAAAGCUUGAAAGGGCGUGGAUGUCGCCUAGAGGGGGGUGAAUAGGCGCUUUAAAAUAAUUACGGUUUAGGCUUGAACAAAUGCGGAAUAAAACUAACAUUUAAUUUAUCAAGCACAAAACCUAAAACAACUAGGCUCACCUAUGUGAACCAACAACUUAUGUUAAGCAAGAUAAACAACUAAGUGAUAGCAAGAUAUUUGACAAGAAACAAUAUGGCUAUCACAAAGUGCAUAAGUAAAGGGUUCGGGUAAGAAAUAACCAAGGCAUGCGGAGACGACGAUGUAUCCCGAAGUUCACACCCUUGCGGAUGCUAAUCUUCGUUUGGAGAGGUGCGGAGGCACAAUGCUCCCCAAGAUGCCACUAAGGCCACCGUCAUCUCCUAACGCCCUCGCACAAUGCAAGAUGUCGUGAUUCCACUAAGGGACCCUUGAGGGCGGUCACCGAACCCGUACAAACAAGGUUGGGGCAAUCUCCACAACUUAAUUGGAGGCUCCCAACAACACCACGAAGCUUCACCACAAUGUCAUAUGGCUUCGAGGUGACCACAAAUGCUCGGGGAAAUCUCCACAAGUUAAUUGGAGACCCCGACGCUUGCCCGGAGCUUUACACCACAAUGAUUGAGCUCUGAGGCACCACCAAGCUUCUAGGGGUACCAAGUACCCAAGGGUAAUAAGUUUUCUCAACUUCUCACUUUCACGUAUCACCAUGGAGAACUCAAACCAAUGCAACUAAUGCAAUGGCAAGAACACACGAAGUGGUCAAGUCCCUCACACUCAAAUCCCUCCACAACAACAAAAGUUGUGGAGAAAUAUCAGAGGAGGAACAAGGAGCUCACAAAGAACUCCAAGAUCAAGAUCCAAGGGGUUCCCCUCACAUAGAGGAGAAAGUGAUUGGUGGAGAUGUGGAUCUAGAUCUCCUCUCUCUUUUCCCUCAAGAACUAGUAAGAAUCAUUGGAGGGAUUGAGAGUUAGCAAGCUCUAAAAAGGUCAAUAAUGGGGAAGAACACGAGCUCAACAGAUGGAUUCGGUCCAAUGGGGAAGAAGACCCCCUUUAUAUAGUGGGGAAAAGAAUCCAACUGUUACCCCCACUCACACCCCGAGCGGAGCGGUACUAUCGCACGGUAGGAAAAAAAUUACUAUCGUGACUACCACCGCUGAGGUUGUAGAUGCAAAGAAAGUCCGAGGAAGCUUUACUACCGCCCGAGAUCGGUAGUAAAAAAACUACUACCGCUCUAGGAGCAGUACUACCGCUCGCACCAGGAGCGGUACUGCCGCUGGAUACUGAAACUGCCAUAACUUUCGCAUACGAACUCCGAAUCGAGCAAACUCAAGCUUGUUGAAUUCAGGACGGCAAGAGCUAUCGAACAGCGGUUAUGAAAAUUCCAAUUAUAUAGAUAUGUGAUACCUCUACGAAUGAAGAACCGGCAAAAAACUUCCAACGUCGAAAACAUCAUAGAAGAUGCAUAUGGACUCUGUUUUCGAUGAACUCGAGCAUGUCACGAAGAUGAACAUAAGCUCUAAAACUCACAAAGAGAAACACCAAACAAGAACCAAGAAAUAUGAUGCAAGGAUGCAAAUGGUUUGAGCUCUCAAUGAACGAUACGAUCAAGCUACUCACUUGAGAGCCCCCCUUGAUAAUACGACAAUCUAUCCUAAAAUAGAAAACCUAUCAAGGGCACCUAGUCCUGUUGAGCUAGAUGAUGAUGAUCUUUGCUUCCUCAAGAUGGACCACAUUUCUUGACUGUGUUGGUUUGAUGAAGACCGGUUGAUAGCCCCCCAUACUCACUAUGGGUGAGUGAUGUCUACGCACGCUUCUAUUCUUGUAGACUAUGUUGGGCCUCCAAGCGCAGAGGUUUGUAGGACAGCAGCAAUUUCCCUCAAGUGGAUGAACUAAGGUUUAUCAAACACAGGGAAGUAGAGGCUGAAGAUGGUUCUCUCAAGCAACCCUGCAACUAAGAUACAAGAAGUCUAUUGUGUCCCCAACACACCUAAUACAAUUGUCAGUUGUAUAGGUGCACUAGUUCGGCGAAGAGAUGUUAAAACGCAAGUGAUAUGGAUGGUAAAACAAGGUAUUGUAAAUCUGAAAUAAAAAUGGCAGCAAGAAAACAUGAAACAAAACUGGAAGUAAACGGUGUUCAGUGGUGGAAAACAAGGCCUAGGCUUCAUACUUUCACUAGGGACAACUCCCAACAACAUUAGCAUAGUCUAAUCACAUGAUAUUUCCACUAAAACAUGCAAUGGCGACAUACUCGGAGGUCAUUCCUUUGUGAUCAAGAGAGGACAAGAAUUAUGUAGGGCUACAAAAGCACACCUCAGAGUUCGUAGUUCUCAUCUAUGGAUUUCCCAAUGUCACCGCGGCCAUCCAAAGAGAGUACCACAAUCACCACAACUUAUCUCAAGGAUAGUCAAAGACAAGCACCAAGAGACUCUCAAUCUUCAAUCAAUUCACAAAAGAGAAAAUCACUCAUGAAAAUAUUCUUCUAAUCCAUGUCCAAUAGACCGCUGUCACCAUGGUCUCAAGGAUUAUACUAGAUAAGAUCAAGUGAGUACAUCAAUCCAAUACAUAGAAGAAGGGGAAACAUCAUGGGAUCACCCUAGGUUAACAUAACCUAUGAUCACAAUCAAGAUCACAUCAUGCGAGAGGGAAUUAACCACAUAGCUACACGUAGAGCCCUCAGCCCCGAGGGAGACUAGUCACACAUGGCCAUGGCGAGCAAGAGGUUGAUGGAAAGGUGCAGCCCGGAGGGGAGACGGCGGCCACGGCGGCGGCCACGACCCUUGGGGGUGGCGGCCCUUGGCCCCCUUCUUCCUUGGAGAUGGUGAUGGUAUGGAGGUGGUUCUCCACCCCAAGGCGGCUGCCUGGGAGGAGGAAAUCUUGUGGCUCUUGGUGGCUCUACAGGAAUUAGGUUUUUCCUCUCCUUAUAUGAGUCGCGACGAUCAUCCUUGGCCCUUCGAUGGAUGCCCAUUUGAUCCAAGGGCUCUUGGGCACCUCUAGAACCUUCCUAGGAACCCCUAUCAGCCCUAAUGAGGUCCCCAAGUCAUGGCUUGGGCGAAUCCAUCUAAUAUGGUAAGAGUUGGACUCAAUCACGUCACCGAUUCCCGUAAUCCUGUAAUCACAUAUUUGUCCUCCAGUAAAACGGGCUUUAUUGGAGCGUACAAACUCCAAAUGGGCCGAAUAUUAUGUCUAGAAUUAUUAGAAUAUAAUUCCCCACAACUUUUGCAUCUAUUAUUUUUCAUUUUACGUCAUCUUCGAGGCGGAAACAGACUAUCUCUAAAAACUGUAGGGGCAUAUUUCAGGAAAGUCAGAGUCCCACUCCAAUAAAGUUUCAUCUUCUGUUUUUGAUGGUUCCUACACACCAAAGUGUAAAACAAGAACAUUGUGCACUUUUGCAACUAUUAGUAGGUUAGUCCAAAUAAAUCAUAAACUUAAUAUAAAACAAUUCUCAAAAGCAUAAAAGUAGCAUGAAACCAUCAAAAAUUAUAGAUACGUUUUGGACGUAUGAGUGAGCCAUCGCUAUAUUGCUGAUGAUAACCACUUGAUGUCAUCCUUCAUAGGUUGAAUGGGAUCUUCCUCUUGACGCAAACCCAUGGAGACACACCUAACCCCACAUAGAACUCUCACGAAGACCAUGGGUUAGUACACAAAAGUGUUAUGGAUAAUGCUUACCAUACCAUGGGAUCACUUGAUCCCUCUCGGUACAUCUUGUACGCUUUGUGUGUUUAUCAUCUUGAUUUAUUCUUUGUCUUAGUCUUGAUCAAGCUUAUGUCUUUAUGACCAUUCUUUGGAUAAUACCUUGAAUACUACCUUGGUCAUCAUAUAAAGAAGUGAAUAUGGACAAAUCCUUAGAAUAUAACUCAAUGCAACCAUUAGUCCAUGGGAUUGUCAUUAAUUACCAAAACCACAUACAGAGAAAUAUGCUCUAACAAAGUUCCAAGAAUUGCCUUUAGGAUGCUUGCAUUGCAUGUUUGAUGUAUGCUGUGUAAAGACAGAGACUUUUAUUGUAGAGUUUGAAUUUUCAUAUUUUACUGGAACGUGGAAAGUUUCUGAAUUUUUUACACAGUGUUGUAAUAUAAAUUUUAUAGCAUUUCCUGAAUUUUCAUAAUUUUUUGAGUUACGAAAGUACACUGUUUUCAUAAAUUGCUACAGACCGUUCUGUUUGGACAGAUUGCUGUCAUAGUUUUGUUAUCUACUUAUCCUAUAGUUUCCAUAGCCUAUAUUGGUAGUUAUAAAUUGUGGAAAUAAUAGUAUACAUUACCCAAUUUUUGGAAAUUAUUGUGCAACUUGUCUUGGUAGUACAUGAAGUGUUGAUUUGUUCUUAUGUGUACUAACCUAUCUCACGAGUUCUUUUUGAGUUUUGUGUGGAUGAAGUUUUUGAGAAUAGGUGAAACCGGGAUAUGAGAAGAUUGAACAAGAUACAAAAGCUCAAGCUUGGGGAUGCCCAAGGCACCCCAAGUUAAUAUUUCAAGAACUCUCAAGCAUCUACUUGUAUCCUAUGAGUAAAUGGUUGAAUGAAUUGAAUAUCAUAAAUCUAAAAUUAUAUAUGUUUUUUAUGCUUAUCCCAUGUGGAGUAAUGACUUCACAUAUAAGAAGUAUAUGUGGUAAAAUUUAUUGAAAGAUAGCAAACACCGCAUUGGUCACUUGAACAAUUCACGAAAGAAUAUUGAAGGAAGAGAGAUUUCACAUAUAAAUUUACUAUCUUGGAAAUCUUCUAUGAUUGUGAAUACCCGUUAAUUAUUUUCAAACUUGAGCAAAUUAGUUGAAGAUUGGACAAGGAAGACAACGUAAUGAGUUAUGCUUGGGUAUAUUUGUAUAGAAGUUAUAUUGUUAUGGAUCCUCCAACAUGUGGUGCUUGCUUCCACCUCAUACUAGCCAAAACUUCCGCACCAAGUAGAAAUACUACUUGUGCAUUCAAAUACCCUUAAACCCAAAGUUGUUUGUCCAUAUGAAUCCACCAUACCUACCCAUAUGCGGUAUUUAUGUGUCGUUCCAAGUAAACUUGCAUGUGCCAAACUCUAAACCUUCAAAUAAUAUUCUGUUUUGUAUGCCCGAAUCGCUCAUGUAGUGACUAGGGGUUGUUAGUAUAUUCGAUGCUAGGUGGGUUAUUCUCACGAUAUGUGUUGAUUCACUAUCAUUCACGAGAAAGUGGCUGGUAUUCGGGAUGCCCAUUUCCAUGCUCCAAAUUCAAAUCAAAAUAUAAUGAAACAAAACUCCCCCAGGAUUGUUGUUUAUAUGGAUGGUACCCAUGGAUUCGGCUCGCCGUGGAGUGUGAUUGAUUGGUGGAGGGGGGGUAAAAAAAUUACCACUCUAUUUGGGAACCGCCUAUAAUGUAUCUAACAUGAAAGAUAUCGAGAUCCCUCGGUUGUUAUGUUGACAAUGAAAGCAUACCGCUCAAAAUUAUUAUUCAUCUCUGUUUUAAAAGCUUGAGCUUUGGCACCUCUGCAAAUCAAUGCUUCCCUCUGUGAAGGGCCUACUUUUAUUUUCUACCACUUACCUUUAUGCAAGAGUCAUGGUGAUCUUCACGACUUCCUAUAUUUCGCCUGUUUCUCUUGACAAGCAUCAUGUGGUGGGGAAAGAUCCAAGCAUAUAUGUCCAUUCAAAUAUAUUUGAUCGUGAAUUAUUAUUGUUGACAAUUAUAUAUAUUAUAAAUAAGUUGGGAGGCGAAACUUUAAGCCCAUAUCUUUCUCCGUGUUCGACGGAUGCCAUUUGCUCUUAAAAUAUGCUUUGAGUGUUAGCAAUCAUGGAAGACUAUAUGCUAGUUGAGUAUGUGGAAUUUGCUAAAUCAAAGCUCUUACAUAGACCCUUCCUGAAAAUAAGAUGAAUUGCAAUUGUUUGAUGACUAGGAUUAUGGUUUGUUAGUUUUCAAGAAACUUUUUGGUCUAUACUUUAACAUGUGAAUAGCUUGUUACUUGAUCAUGAGAAGUUUUAUGAGAUGAGCUAUUGUUUAUGGUUUAUAUUUAUGCUAGAAAAAGUGAUUGGAAGUAUCAUUUGUCAAACUUGUGCACUUGCUAGCAUUCACACUUCAUAAAUAUUUCUUUUAUCAUUUACCUACUCGAUGACGAGCAGGAAUUAAGCUUAGGGGUGUUGAUACGUUUCCGGCGUAUCUAUAAUUUAUGACGUAUUCAUGCCAUGUUUACAAUAAUUAUAUAUGAUUUUGGUAUGAUUUUAUUAGAACUAACCCGGAGUGACGCUGUUUUCAACAGAACUACCAUGCUAUCGUUUUUUGUGCACAAAUAGAAGUUCUCGGAAUGGGCUGAAAAUUUACGGUGAUUUUUAUGGACCAAAAGAGACCCCCGAAGCACCAGAGUUGGGCCAGGAAGUGGAUGAGGAAGCCACAAGCCUGCUGGGUGCGGCCACCCCCUAGGUCGUGCCCCCGUGGCUUGUGACUUCCUCGGGAACCUUCCGGACGUGAGACCGAUGCCAAAAAUUCCUAUAAAUACCAAAAAAACCCAGAAAGAAACCUAGAUCGGGAGUUCCGCCGCCGCAAGCCUCCAGAGCCACGAAAAACCAAUCUUGGCCCUAUCUUCACCGGAGGCCAUCUUCAUCAUCCCGGCGGUCUCCAUAAUCGCCAUGGAGGCCAAGGACCAGAGGGAGAACCUCUCCCCACUCAAGGGGGAGACCAUGGAGGAGGAAGCACAAGGGGGACCUUUCUCUCUCUCUCUCUCUCUCUCUCUCUCUCUCGAUGGCGCCGGAGUGCCAUCGGGAGAACCAUCGCCGUGGUGAUUGUCUUCAUCAACAACACCUUUUUCAUCACCAUCAUCAUCUCCUCUCAGCGGUCCACUCUCCCGCACCUCGUUGUAAUCCCCUACUUGUACAUGGUGCUUUAUGUCGCAUAUUAUGAUUCAAUGAUGUGUUGCCAUCCUAUUAUAUUUUGAGUAGAUUUCUUUUGUCCUUUGGGUUGAUUGAUGAUCUAGAUUGGUGUGAGUUGUAUAUUUAUUUUGGUGAUGUCCUAUGGUGCCUUCCGUGUCGCGCACACGUGAAGGAUUCCCGUUGUAGGGUGUUGCAAUGCGUUCAUGAUUCGCUUAUAGUGGGUUGCUUGAGUGACAGAAGCAUAAACCCGAGUAAGGGGGCUAUUGCGUAUGGGAUAAAUGGGACUUGAUACUUUAAUUGUAUGGUUGGGUUUUACCUUAAUGAUCUUUAGUAGUUGCGUAUGCUUACUAGAGUUUCAACCAUAAGUGCAUAUGAUCCAAGUAGAGAAAGUAUGUUAGAUUAUGCCCCUCCCUCAUAUAAAAUUGCUAUAAUGAUUACCGAUCUUGUUAACAAUUGCCUAGGACAAUUCCGCACACCGACCCAUCAUUAUUCCAUACUUGUUGUUUGUAAUAUAUUGUAAUAUAUUCUAACUUUAUGAUAACAACACCUAUUUUUAUAUUCUAGUUCUCUGUUAUCAUGCAAAGCUAUUCUCUUCAUACCACCAUGUAGUUUUAUUUCUCGUUUCUAGUUGGAAGCAAACGUCCGGUGUACGUAGAGUCGUAUCAUUGGCACAUAGGACUUGAGAGAAUAUUGAUGUUACCUUUAGCUCCUUAUAGGUUCGACACUCCAUACUUAUCACUUCCACCUUUGAAAAUUGCUAUGAUGAUUCCUUACACUUGGGGAUUAUCAGCCCAAGGGUGGCGCACCAUCCCCUAGUGGUCUGGUGGCCAGCCCAAGAGGGCCUAGGUCGGCUGAAGUGGGAGAAAAGGCAUGGAGAGGAGGCCAAUCCGAUUUGCCUUCCAAGUGGAGUUGGAGGAGGACUCCUCCCUCUCCCUCUUGCGUCGGUCGAAACCCUAGAGGUUUCCCUAGGGCGCCGCCCCCUCCCUCCCACCUAUAUAUAGUGGAGGUGAUAGAGGCUUUUGGCACUCAAGCAAAAGUGCAGCUCUCUCUCCCUCCACAACUUCGACACCCCGUAGCUAGAUUAGUCCGGCACGGCGAAGCCCUGCCGGAGUAGCUCCACCACCAUCACCGUUACGUCGUUGUGUUGCCGGAGAAUUCAGCUACCUCUUCACCCCUCUUGUUGGAUCAAGAAGGCGGAGAUCUUCACCGAGAUGUACAUGUGUUGAACGCAGAGGUGCCGUACGCUCGGUACUAAAUCGGAACGGAGUUCGUGGGACGGAUCGUGAUUGGAUCGCAAAGAUGUUCGACUACAUCAACCAUGUUUCUUAACUCUUCCCGCUUAGCGAUCUACAAGGGUAUGUGGAUCUGAUCUCCCCUCUUGUAGAUGAUCAUCACCAUGAUAGGUCUUUCGUGUGCGUAGGAAUUUUUUUGUUUCCCAUGCAACGUUCCCCAACAUCUCUCUCGUAGUAAUUCUCCAUCAUAGCAAUCGCGACAGCGCUUGGCGAAGCCCUGCUGAAAUUGCACCACCACCACCGUCACCACGCUGCCGUGCUGCCGGAGUACUCAACCUCUAGUUCAACAUCGCUCUCUGGAUCAAGGAGGUGAAGGCAUCAUCGAGCUGUACGUGUGCCGAAAGCGAGGUGUCGUAUGUUCGGAAGACGUUCCACUACAUCAACCGCGUUCUUUAACACUUCCGCUUAGCGAUUUACAAGGGUAUGUAGAUGCAAUCUCUCCUCUUGUAGAUGGUCAUCUCCUAGAUUGUUCUUGGUGAAGCGUAGGAUUUUUUCCCAUGCAACGUUUCCCCAACAAGGAGGUAUAAUUGUUGUUCCUAACGACAAAAAUGAACUUAUCCUACAAAGAAUUGUAACUGGUUGUAGGAUGGUAAUUGAUUUCAGGAAAUUAAAUAAAGCUACUAAAAAAGAUCAUUACCCCUUGACUUUUAUUGAUCAAAUUUUAAAAAUAUUAUCUAAGCAUACACAUUUUUGUUUUCUUAAUGGAUAUUCUGGUUUCUCUCGAAUACCUCUGUCAAAAGAAGAUCGAGAGAAACCUAUCUUUACUUGUGUGUUUGGAACUUAUGCUUAUAGAUGUAAUGCACCUGCUACCUUUUAAAGGUGUAUAGCUGCUAUAUUGUGUGACUUUUAUGAAAAGAUUAUUAAGGUAUUCAUGGAUAAUUUUUCCAAUUAUGAGACGUCUUUUGAUGAUUGCUUAGGCAACCUUGUUCGAGUUUUGCAAAGACGUGAAAAAACUAAUCUUGUCUUAAAUAGGAAAGUGUCCCUUUAAGGUGAAUGAAGGUAUAAUACUGAUGCCCCAUAAGUAUAGGGGAUCAACUGUAGUCAUUUCGAUAAGUAGAUGUAUAUACACCCAUAGAACAAAAGUUCCCCUCCAUAUGAGGAGCCGCAUGUUUAGCUCUAUUGAGGUUUAAAGUUAUCGCGAAAAACACAACUUUUCCCACGUACUUCUCAUGUCAUGAGGCAACUCGCCGGAUUAAAAUGUAGCCGAACCGCACACGUCUGACAUCGCCUCACAUAACUUAAUUUAUUUUGGAAAUUUCCAUAUACUUGUAUUGGGGUCAUGUUGAUGUACAUGCUAUUCUUGGGAUCAUAUUGAUGUACCGGUAAUUUAUCUCUGAGCCUGGGCUCGUAUAAACCCGGUGAACAGUACCAUGUUUUAGACUACCAAAAAUGUUUUAAAAAGUCCAAUUUUUUUCAUGAUGCAAGAUCCUCUUAUGUGUGAACUCCCUGCAAAACUUUAUGAAAUUUGAACAUUCAAGAAACUCACGGCAAAAAAGACAAAAUCAGGCAUGAAUAGUGCACUUUUCAAAUGUUUCUCACACAUCUGAAACUUGUCUUUUUUGCCGUGAGCUCCUCAAAUGUCGAAACUACACAAAAAUUUGCAAGCAGUUCACACAUAGGAGCAUCUUACACCAUAAAAAAAUUGAACUUUUUUGAAUACUUUUUGUACCUCAGAACAGGGUACUGUUCAUGCACGAGCUCAGAUGAGCCUGGGAGCCAAAUUGCCGUGUUUCUACUUCCUCCCCUCUCUCUCUCCCCUUGUAUUAUCUCGGAUUAUAAACGGAAUUGAAGAUUUUAGAGAGAGAAAAGACAAGCUAAUUGCAAGACCAUCAUAGAAUGCAUGUUCCAUCAAUACCGAGAUCGUCCAUGACGCCACUCUACUAUGCAUCUGAUAUGGUAUGAACAAACCUUAGCAGCUAACUUUCUAAACACCAUUUUUUUUCAGAUUAAGAUGGAUCAGGAGGAGAAUGCAUGGCGGACCUUGUUCUCAAGGAACGAAACCAACUCAAGGGUGGUGGCACCGAGCCUCGACGACAGCAGGCAGCGAGGUCGCAGCCGCGUGCAAACGAUACAUGCCGGGUCUGAAGGUGGGCAUAGAAAGAGCAUUGGUAUCCUCGUCUGCUUAGACGUGAUGAUCAACUGCCAAAAUUAUACCACAUCACACGAAUAUGUAGCAGCAAACUUCCCCAGUGACAGUACGGCAUGUAUUUUGAGCACUGGUAUCCGGUGACAAAAUUGAAUAUACACCUCAACUAGGAUGAACGCGGAUGUAUGUAUUACUCUUUCAUCCAAAACGCAAGCACGGACACCGCCUUGGCCUGCUUGUGUUGCUGGCGAUGGCGAGGGGACCGUCGAGAGAAGACUCACUUCUUUUCCGCUGCUUUAUGGUCUGGAAUCUUCAGCAUGCCACCGUCGAUGAGCGGCUGCACCUCGGAUUUCGCAAGAUCCUUCACCUUGGAAUCUGGAGAUUCCAGAUAGGCAGCCACCACCUUGGAGCUGCAGCAACGAUCAACAAGUUCAGAAGAGUAUCAGCGCAUGAUUCCCCUUUUAUUUCCUUCAAAAUACCACCUCAGCAGUGCAAUGUAGUACGUAAAUUGCAACAAAUAGUUGAAAUUGUAUUCGUCGCAUUUGCAUGGUCCACAAAUUUGAUGAACAGAUUAAACAACUGGCAUAUCGAUGAGGAAUCAUUUUGAGGUACCUGAAUCCAUCUGCAAAUGACUUGGACUUCCCUUUGAGGGCUUUUUCCCAUAGGGUAGCGGCAAACGCAGGGCAAUCAAGUACCAUCUUUCUGAUUACGCGGCUCGAGUGGUAGUUAUCAAAGGCAUGCUCAACAUCCUCUGUCCUCGGCCGUGCUGCGUCAGAAGCUAUAGCAUUGUGAAGCACGUGGAUCCUGUCGGUGACCCCCUCCAAGACAUUAUUUUUUCCACCUAUAGCAACCUUGGAAAAUGGCAAUACAGAAUCUCAGUAGGUGCAGUCAUGACGCUCUUCAAUGGUCAUUUACUCAUUUGUGUCAAGAGACAGACCAAGAAAACAGUAGGUAGGUUCGUGUGUAGACUGGAGUGCCAUUUUCUUUUACAGGAGGUUGAUUCAUCAUCAUUAAGGAAAAGUGAAUAAAAGUAAUACUAAGCACAGGCCUAGGGACCAACGCAUCCCAGAGAAAAGGUUCCAUCAACUCAUAAGAAUAUUUCCACAUUGUUGAAUAAUAAUCAGGAAAAAUGCUCGUCUCUUGUGAAGGUCAUGCAAGUAAAAUCAUAGCACUAUUUAUCACAAGUAGUCCCUUUCACAAAGAAAUGUCAUAGAUGAAUGAAUAUUAUCGCAAGAUACUGGCUAUAGAGGUACAGGUAGAAGCGUAGAGCAUGGACUAAGGGAUUACCUCAUAUAAUACAUCUUUGCCAAAGUUUGCUCGAAGUAACUCUCCAACAUUUUCAAUGCAAGUCUCAAUGAGAACCUGCAAAGGAAAAAAGAAAACCUACAUUAGGACUAGGGGUACGUGACUAUGGGACCAUAGUAAUGUCAGGAUCAGGGUGUCAUGUGACUAAUGAGGGCGUAGUAAUGUUGCGACUAGGUGUUCUUUCACAAAUAAUCACCCUAAAAUCAUAGUACUAGUGCAAGAAUAAAUGUAGAUCUCUUGAGGGGGGACACUACAUGCUCAAAAAGAAAUGCCAUUGAAUAAAUAAAUAAAUAAGUUAAAUACAUGUUAAGAGUAUCACCUCGAAAAGUUCGCUUUUCACCAACAGUUCUUGCCUCCGUUUAAACGGGUCCUUCUUGCUAUCAGAUGCAACCAGUGUGUCUUCUGAACCCCCAUGUUCUUUUUCAGCUACAUCAUCCAACUUACUAUCCAAGUUAACUUUAGCAGCACCCUCUGAUGCCUCAUCCUGAAACAAAAAAAAGCAAAUUUCUGGGGGCUAUCUCUCUUCAGAGUACUUAACAGUUAAUAGGGUAGGUAACUUGCCUUUGAAAUAAGGGAAGGCACACUGUACUUCAGACAACUCAAAUCAGUCGGAGUCAGAUAACGUGAGCAAAGUGGGUGAAGUAGCUGCAGCAAUGGGCGUCUCCCGUUCUGUUCCAGCAAGGAGCUCCAUCAUAAAGUCUCAUGUACGUGUAACAAACAAAUAAAAAUAAGCAUAUCAGAAGCUCGUUAUUGCUUUUACCUUGUCAAAUAUGAGUUCCUUUAACUGUUUUGUCAGCUCUUCAAUUACAACCUACAAAUAAUGAAAGUAAGCUAUAAGCAUUGUCUCUUCAGAUUGCUUGUAAUGGCAGCAUAACACUUGCUUCAAGCAAAUGAUUGGUGCUGGCUAACCUUAGUAAGAAGUUUUGUGUCAUCAACAAUGGAGAGAAGACAAGCAAGGAACUGGAGAAAAAAAGAUAUGUUAGUUUAGUUGAUGAUUGAUCACUUGGAAGCAUAAAACCAUCUGAAAUUACUGUGGAUUGGGAGAAUGUUUUUGAACGUUAAAGCAUAAAAUUCACACAGUAAAACCCUAUUUGAAUACUAAAAUAUACUAUUAGAAAUAUAGACACCACUUACAAGGCAUCCAUAAUCACUGAGAGCAAGCUUCAUAACCUGACCCUUCAAGCUUUUGAUAAUUUUCUUCCUAUCCUGAAAUGCAUUACCAAGUUAAAUGAUAAAACCACACUGGAAAUAAGCAAGAAUAAAAAGAAGUACUACUGAACAUGCAGCAUGAGGCACUAACUAACGUACGGUUCUUCCCGAAAAAACAAAAAAACAAAAAACUAACACACGGUUCAAUUUGCAUGACUGUUUAGUGUCUAAAAUCAACAGAGGUUAAUAAAUAAACAUUGGAUAAAGCAGAUGAGUUGGCAAAGUUAAAAAAAGUGAUCACUCUGAAAUCUGUCUUUCUAGAUACAAAUAAGAAAACAGAAAGACAAAAAAAAGACAAUGUACCUUCGCACUGCCAUGCUUGAGGCAAGCAAGCCCUAAUUUUAAUCCUUCCCUGGUCUGCAUGAUACGAAUGAGAAGUGGUUCUGAAGAUCUUUUCUUCUUAGCUUUUGAUUUUGUUGGUACUUCAGCGACACCUGAUAGUUCAUCUCCAUCUACGACAGAUGACCCUUGAGUAAGAUGGGGAAUUAACUGACGAAUCACGUCCGAGGCUGAUGUCUACGAAACACAUGCAUAUAUUAGAUAGUGCAAUAAGCUGAAGAAAUAUUUCAUCAAAAAAGGAGAGCUUUGUUGUAAAGAUAGGCCAAUCGCGUCAAUAAAAUACAUUUACCUUGUCCGCAAUUGUUAAGUACUCCAAUAUGACCGUGUGUACUAUGGAAUACUCAACAAUACCUUUUUCCAAAACUGGCUGGAUAACAGUAGUCAUAUACUGCAGGACAGAUGAUUUCUGUAGUCCAAGCUUAGAAAUUGUUUCUAACAAACUGAAAAAGAAAGUUGAAUUUUAGGAUAUUGAACUAAAUAAGUAACUGCAGCCACCUAUGUCAGGAUAAGUGAAUGACUACAAUAAUAUUUCCGUCCGCCCAAGUUAAAGUUUUGUACAGAGAAGUAACAAAAGUUAAGGGGACACUACAAAGCAGAUGUAUGACAAGACAUUAUAGCGUGCCAACCUGCAUGAUUUUUGUUCAGUCAAGUCCUUGAACAGCUGAAGCUCGGUGGAGUACAAUUCCAACAACAAACUUCUUUUCUGAGGCGGUGUCGCCUGAUGAAAGGUGCAAUCAACAACUGCGAAAAAGAGUGCAUCUCAAUGUAAGAUUUCCAUGUACCCCUUUACUUGUAUAGCAAAUAGAAACGCAUGUGUACAAUGGCAUUCAACCAUUAACUCCUGCUGCUCCUAUACACGACAAGUUCCUAUCCCUUAUGACAAUAACACAUAGCAACACAUACCUGCAGCUCCUAUUGUGUGACGAAGUAGAGAAGCGACAUGACCAUGAAGGGAAGAGAUGAACAAGGCAAGCUGUUUUUUAGUGGCUGCAGUCACAAACAAGAGGUAUGUUAGUGAAGCUAUAAGGGUUAUCAUAUAUGAACUCAUACGAGUUUUUAGCGAAUUGUAGAGAACUUUACCAAGUUUUAUGAGCUUCUUCACAAGAAAAACAGCGUAUUUCUUGCGAGAGAAAUGGAGCAAAUGUGGCUGCAGGGCAACAAAAACAGCAUCCCUCUCUGGCUGUGAGCACCACUUCACACAUGUCUGAAAAAGGAAUGGCGACUAUCAGAAUAAGGACGAAAACACCAUAAGAAGCGCGUUCAUAAAGAGUGAAUAUCGUCAGCUUACCUGAAGAACACGUGCGGUUACAUGGGAUCCAGCAAUUUCAAAAUAUUUGCCAUCCAUUUUACGGAGAGCCUCAGUCACUAGCCUGUAGAGAUGACAAACGCAUCGGCAUAAGAAGUUGACCAUAAGUUGCAACUCACAAGACUUUAAUAGUGACGCUUACUUGGAUCUAUUCUCCUUGCUCACAUCACGGCAUCUCAUCUUUUCCCAUAGUACUGCCAGUUCCUGUCGAUAUUAGGUGUCGGCGGCACACCAAAUUAGAGUUGGCCAGAGUAUGGUUAACUGAAUCAUCAUAUACAGAGUGGUGGUUGAAGCAGGCACUGCUACUAUUUAUUACUGGGAUAAAAGUCAGUUUUUGCUUCAUUGUCAAAAUUAAGUAAUGCUACCAGCAGAAUUCAAGUCCAAAAGUAAAAAUCAAGAAUAUGUAAUACUCAGAGGUCAAUUAUUUUGGUUUAGGCUACAAGCAGCAUUACAUGAUUGUUUAUUAUGUAUGCAGCAAGUGUAAUCUGAAGAUUGAACAUACAAGGAAACGUGAUCAUAAUGGGAGCAUACGGUACAAAACAAAAAUUACCUUUUCGAGGUUGUAAUUGGGCUUCCUCUUCAUCUUCCUCGACUCGGACAUUUCCUGCCACAAUCGACACCAUUCCACAGCUUCAGCACAAGCACAAGCAGGACCAAAGCGCAAGCUCUCCAAACGAGCUAAACAAGGAAGGGGCACCGAUGGAAUACCUUGGCGGCGACCCGCUUGCCCUUGGCGGUGACGGGCUGCGGCUUGGCCUUGGCGGCAGGGGCGUCAUGGGUUUUCUUCCGCUUGGUGGCGUCGCCGCCUCCCUUGGACGGCGCCUUGGGCCUCCCCGCGGCCUCGCGCUUCCGCUUGUUGGCGCCCGGGUGGUCACCACCUCCGGCCAUGGGAACACGAGGCGGCGUCGGCGAACGGGGGAGGAUGAACGAGGGUUUACUGGUCGCAGCACCGGAGGAGGAUGCCCAGAUAGGUUCGUUCUAGUCUAGGGGGCAGUUCUUUUCACCUCACGAUUCUCCAGAAUCUGAUUCUGGGAAACUGCCCACAGAAUCAGCUGUCCAGUUCUUUUCUGUGAUUCUAGCAUGUGAUUAUUGUAUGAGUUGUGUGCUGAAAUGUCUGUAACGCCCCUAGAUUGAACUGAGUGCUGAAUUACUAAUACUUGGUUAUUUCUGAUAGUUUCAUGUCUAAUAUGAACACGAAAGCUAGUUGCAAAUUUAAUAUGAAUUUAGUAAGCAAAUUUGCUUGUCCUACAUCCGACAAACUGGUGUUUCCAGGGGCGCGGUUAUUUGCUCGCACCUCUUCUACGCACACAUCCAUAUAAAUGGAAUGAUACGCACUAUCCCAAAUUGCUUUAGGAUGCUUCACUUUCUCCAUCUAAAACAUCCAUAUGUGAACGUUUUAAUGUACACAAUUUUUUUCAUUGCUAAACAGAGUUAAAAAAGAGUUUGUAUUUUUUUCAUUGCUAAACAGAGUGUAUUUUUUCAUUGCUGACCAAAUUGCAUAUGUGUGUACUACAUGUGUGUACUAUCGCGAGCAGCAUCAGCCAAGCAGCAGCAGCAGCAGGAGCGAAGCAGAGCACCAGCAGCCAGGUGGAGCGUCCGUAGCCAUCCUAGAGAUGUAGGGGAGAGAGAAGCUCACCAGCAGAGGCAGGAGUUGCUGGAGCUCUUGAUGAUGGCGGCGGGCUGGACGGGGCGGCCGCGCGCGCAGGUGUUGGCCGACGGGACGGGGCGUAGGGGGUGGCGGGGAAGGAGACGGGGCGGCUGGCCGCACAGUUCUCCGGGAUGGCGGCGGACGGUCGGGGUCGCCGGCUUGUAGCGGAUCUGACGCCGCCGCGGCGGGGUCGAAGGCUGGCGGCACUGAACCCUAGCUGGGGACGAAACGAGCGAGCGGGCUAUGGUGCCUGCAAAUUUUCGUGUUUUGACCCCAGAUCUGACCCCGAUUUUAAAAUUUUGAGAUUUAUUAAUUUUUUUGCCGUCAGGGUUCACGACGGUUGAGUAUACGAGCCUAUCGCCGAGAUUCUUGACGGUAAAAAACUUAUUUAUAUCAAUGGGGCGCAUCUUUAUCGUCAAACAAAUUAGUAGCAGAAUGUACAACCCUACUAUCCGAAGAUAGGUGCGAGCAUGUACUGUAUACAAUACUUAAAAAAUAAAAAUACGAUAGGACAUGCUAACCUAUCGUUAAGGGUCUCGACGAUAGGUUGUUAUACCCUAUCGUCAUGGACCCUGAUGGUAGGAAAAGGAUCAAGUCCCAAAAUUUUACAAACAAGGAUCAGAUCUUGCUCAACUUUUAUGAAAGGAUCAAAACAUGAAAAUUAGCCUCUCGUGGCUCUAUGCAUCUGUCAUUUUGGGCCCCUAUUUCCAAUUGCUCUGAGUUCGGACAUUUUGAGGGUAAAUAACUCGUUUAAUAUGGGUAGAACAUUAAAACCAAAUGUUUUCUUUCGAGGGGCUCGGCAUAAUCGUGAGAAUCGCCAACAUUCUCUGAUUUUCAUUUGCACUACUAUUCUUGUGAUUUCCAGAUAAUUUUAAAGAAGAAAAUCAAAUUCCUUUGCGAUUGUUGAUUCUCUCAACGCGAUUGUUGAGAAUCACCUCAAAAGAACUGGCCCUAGGAUUUAUCGCCUGCCAAUACCAGUCUGUCACCCAACAACGUAUGAGGUGGGUCGCACAAUGGGCUUGUGACAGUUCCAUUCGGCCUAAGUUACGUAACUCGGCUCGUCAUUCGGCAACCUCUUGUAGACGAUCGGCCUACAGGAUCGUGUCUGACCCGACAAAGCGUGAGAGGGUUGUUUGGUCAAUCCACCGCGGGGGUGAGGGAGCGCGCGCAAGGGUUUUCAUUUUCCCCAAUUUCCCAUCAUGGAGGUCGUUGAACACGCCAACAAAUGGGCGAACGACGGGCAGGCGCGUGAGACGUUGACGCGUGGGCGACCGCGAGGCGGGGUGGCCUCAGUCGGUGCGAGGUGCGAGAUCUGACCUUGGUUUGGAAAAAAAAUCUAAAUAUCGAAUAUAGUGUGUGUUUUGACCCUUGUUUGAAAAAAAAUCUAAGUAUCAGAUACAAUGCGUGUUCUGACCCUAGUUUUCUAAGUAUUGGAUUCUUCAAAUAUUCUAAGGGUCAACUACUGUAAAAAUAUAUAUAUACGAUAAUCGACCCUUUUACCUUACUGUCAAAACACGCAUUGUAUGUGAUACUUAAAGGUGUGAGAUCUCGCUCAACUAUUGUAAAAUGGUCAAAACAACCUCGACGGUAGGCUGGUAUACCCUACCUUCAUGGACCCUGGUGGUAGGAAAAGGGUCAGAUCCCAAAAAAAUCAAACUCGGGUCAGAUCUGGCUUAACUUUUGGAAAAGGGUCCGAACACAAAAAAUUGGCCCGCGUUGUGUGGGGCGCCUCUUUUUGAGCACUUGUGGUGUCGACGUGCGAGCGAUCCGGCGUGGUGCGGCCGUUCAUGUGGUCGCGCUGGCGUGCUCUGACCGCACACGCGUGUAAGAGCAGUGGAGGAGUGGGAUGGAAACCCUGAAUGGAAUGUGAGGGCAUCGCGCUAUCGCUGGAUGGGAGGGAUUGGUUGGUUGGAGAUCUCGCGGAUAUCUCGUCGUACGUGGUCGGGAUGCAAUCUGAUAGGCGGGCCUUCUCAGGGUCUUGAGAAAUGUUAAUUUGCAUUGAUUGCAAUCGGGGUGCUGGAUUCUGUGGCGCAAACAAAAAAAUGGCCCGGAAGAAAGGAAUCAGUCUCUUCAGUCCAGCUCACCCUAUUAUCAUUAACAUAUUGUCAUUAAUGAAACUAUUUUGACCUUGAAGCAUGUUAUGCAAAGGCUUGAUAUAAUUGAAAAUAAAAUUUCCACUAAAUAACAAAUUGAGGAGUUGGAUAAAAUAUUCAUACUAAUAUCACUCAAUUUGGAUCAAAGGUAGGAUUUACUUUGAAAGCAUUAAAGGAGAAAGAUACAAUUAUUAAUGAGCGCGUAGAGCAAGAUUUGAGUAUUUUAUAUAAUGGAGGAAGUCACUGAUAAAGUGGGUUAUGCUUCCACACCCUCUAAAAUUAAUGCUAUUACCUCUCAAAGAAAAAUUCCAAGGUUAUGUAUGUCCCUAAGAACACUAGUAUCACUCCUAUCAAAAGAAAGAAGGAUAUUAAAAUGAUUAGUGUGCAUCCCAAUUUUAUAAACAUGAUAAGAGACCCUAUCUUCAAGCCUCCUAUUUUUUCUAAGAAGCAUGGUUGUGUGAUUGAGGAGUUUGACAAGAAUACAACACUUGAAACUAUGCAUUAUGAAUAACUAGGGGCGUAAAACGAUAGCGCUUGUUAAGAAGCAACCCAAGAGUCAUCUUAAUUUUAUUGUUCUAUUUUCUGUUUUGUGUGAGGUAACAUGAUUAUUGAUACUGUAAUUAUUGUGUUUUUAUGUUUAAAUUAGUGUUUGUGUUAAGUAAAGCCUUUUGGAUGAUUUGAAUGAUAAGUAGAAUUGAAACGGUGCAAAAACAGAAACUUUUGCGUCUAGUGCAGAAUUUCUCUAAUUUUACUGGAACAUCUUUUUGAUAUGAAUUUUUUACACAAUAUUGGUAUACAAAUUUUGCAGGUUUUCUUGACUUUUCAGAAUUACAGGAGUUAUAGAAGUAGGUUGUCUUUGGUGAUCACUACAGACUGUUCUGUUUUAGACAGAUUCUAUUUUUACUUGCAUAGUUUGCUUGUUUUGAUGAUGCUAUUGAUUAUAUCGAGGGGUAUAAUUCAUGGAGAAGUUAUAAUACAAUACCUUAUGCAAUAAUAAAAUAUGAAUCAAUUUAUAAUAGCACCCAAUGUUUAUGGUUCGCCUAUCCUACUAACAGAUCUCACGAGAUUUCUGUUGAGUUUUGUGUGGUGAAAUUUUCAAGUUUUGGGUGUUAUCACGAUGGACGGAGGAAUAAGGAGCGAAAAAGAGACUAAGCUUGGGGAUGCGCAAGUAACCACGAGUUAAAUUCUAGGAAGACUCAAGCGUCUAAGCUUGAGGAUGCCCCGGAAGGCAUCCCCUCUUUCGUCUCAAUCAAUCGACAUGUCACUUGAAGAUAUAUUUUUAUUCAUCAUAUGAUAUGAGUUUUGCUUGGAGCGUCGUUUAUUAUAGUUUGCUUUUGUUUUAAUUUCCCACAAUCAUUGUUUACUGGACACACCCACUUGAUAUAGACACAUGUUCAACAUGAUUUGUUAGAAUACUCUAUGUGUUUCACUUAUAUCUUUUGAGCUAAGCAGUUGCUCUAGCACUUCACUUAUAUUUUGUAGAGCACAGUGGCGUAUAGAUUUCUAGAAAUCAUUGCACUCUCGUUCUUCACUUAAACAUGUUUGAGAGUUAAUAAAUAGUGACGAUAAUUAAUAUGUGUUGUAAGACUAGUUAAAAAAUAAUAGGUAUUCAAGGAGUGCAUAAUCAAAUCCUUCAUGUAGCACAUAAAAGAGAAUUUGUGAGUUAAUGAUAUUGAUAUGCUAAUAUGAAAAGGGCGUGAGUGCAUGGUUGUUGGUUAGUAAAUAUAUCGAUAGUUAAAGGGUGUUAAUUUUUUUUGUUCAUCUAAAUAUUGGCUAUGGCAUGGUGAUGAUGUGUGAGCAUUCUUAUUCCUCAUUGAAAUCCUAGUGUUGUUUAGGUCGGGGGCGCGCGAUGGAUAACUCCUACCAACCUCCUCCCUAGGGGCAUGUGAGUAGUACUUUGCUUAGAGAAAUCUAAUAAAAUAUUGUGAUAAGUAUACGAGUUCUUAUGGCUAACGUGAAUCCAUGGAUCUACGGCAUCUCACCUCCUCAUGUUUGCUAGCCUCUUCGAUAUCAUGCGUUCUCACUCUCACCUCAAGGAUCGGUGCAAACUUCGGCCGUGCAUCCAAAUCCAACGACAUGAUACACUAUGUUGCACAUAAGACACCUUAUAUCUUCCUCAAAACAGUCACCAUACCUACUUAUCAUGACAUUUCCAUAUCCAUUCCGAGAUAUAUUGCCAUGCAACUUCCACCAUUACAUCAUAUGACUAGUACACUCAUUGUCAUAUUGCAUUGCAUGAUCAUGCAGCUGACAUAGUAUUUGUGACAAAGCCACCGUUCAUCAUUGUUAUAAAUGUUACGCUAGACCAUUGCACGUAUUGGUACACUGUCAGAGGCAUUCGUAUAGUCAUAUUGUUUAGUAGUUUUUUAUUGAGUUGUAAGUAAAUAGAAGUGUGACGCUUUUCAUUAUUAGGGCACUUUCUAAGUGAGGAAAGGAUGAUGGACACUAUGAAUCCCCACAAGUCGAGAUGAGACUCCGGACAAAAAAUAAAAUGAAAAAAUGAAAAAAAAAANNNNNNNNNNAGGAAAAAAUAAAUAAGACAAAAGAGAAGGGACAAUGCUACUACCUCUUUUUCCACGCUUGUGCUUCAAAGUAGCACCAUGUUUUUCAUAUAGAGUCUCAUGUAUUUGUCACUUUAAUAUGCUAGUGAGGUUUUUUCAUUAUAGAAAUUGACUUGUGUAUUCCGAUGACAGGCUUCCUCAAAUACCCGAGGUCUUCAUGAGCAAGCAAGUUGGAUGCACACCUACUCAAAUUCAGUUGAGCUUUCAUACACUUAUAGCUCUAGUGCAUCCUUUGCAUGGCAAUCCCUAUUCCACACAUUGAUAUUGACUGAUGGAUGUACCCAUAGCCCGUUGGUCCACCUAGUUGAGGCGAGACUUUCUUCUCCAUGUUUACCCCUUUGAAAACUACCACCAUAUUCUAUUCCACCUAUAUGCUAUGUCCAUGGUUCACACUCGUGUAUUGAGUGAGUAAUAAAAAGCCGAAGCACGUUAAGAAGUAUGACCCAAUUGCUUGGCUUAACACCGUGGUGCUUGAAAUUUAUAUUUAUGUGGUAAAGACGGAGCCAUGCCAUGCUAAUAUGUUAAAAUGAAUGGGGGUUAAACAAUCUUUAAAGAUCAUAUAUUUUGAAAAUUGAUGAUUAUGUUACCUAUGUUCAUGGAUAUUACUAUGUUGUUGUUUGUUAAUUCAUCAUUUCUCAAUGACAAUAUGUGCAAGAGAUUACAUGUUGGGUAGCAUGUCACAUCAAAAUUUAUGUUUUUAUCAUUUACCUACUCGAGGAUGAGCAUGAAUUAAGUUUGGGUUUAUGUUAAUACUACUCAUGAGAUUAUAUUGAGUUCCUUGCUGGUCUAUGCAUAUAUAUGCAUGAUUAUGAUAGCUUCAUAAUUCUUUCUGAUCUAUUGAUUUGGUUUGGCGGAUUGAUUUAUCUUCAGCGGGAGAGGUGCGUUGUAGUGGGUUAAGUCUUGCGGUGAUCAAUCCCACUGAUAGAAAGGGACAUGACACACAUUGUAUUACUGCCACUAAGGGUAAAACAAUGGAGUUGAUUCAUGUUAAUUGGAUUUGCUUUGUCUACAUCAUGUCAUUGUUCUCCAAGCAUUACUUUUUCCACUUAAUACUCUAGAUGCAUGUUGGAUAGCGGUCGAUGGGUGGAGUAAUAGUAGUAGAUGGCAGCAGUCGGUCUACUUGCUUACGUACAUGACGCCUACAUGUAAUGGUCAUUGCCAUGAAUAAAUAUUUCAUAAUUAACUACUUUUCUAUCAAUUGCCCAACAGUAAUUCGUAUACCCACCGUAUACUUUCUACGUGAGAGAAGUCUCUAGCGGAAACUUUGGCCCCCAGGUCUAUUCACAUAUGUAAAUACAAAAAAUACAAAAUCACUUGUUAUUCUUAUUUUCUUUCUAUUUAUUUUUCAUUUAUAUUUAUCAAACUAUCCAACCAUGCUACUUAUUACUUGCAAGUAACGAGUUCAAGGGGAUUGACAACCCUCCUACCAGUGUUGGGUGCAAGUGUGUGUGCUCUUUUGAGUGCGGGUGCUGAAGACGGGAAAUUUCAUGGUCCUCCUAUUGGUUCGAUAACCUUGGUUCUCGCUGAGGGAAAAGCCUACGUCUUGAUUUGUGUGUAUUGAUGAUGAUGAUCUCAAUUACAAGGGUGCGGAAUCGCUACCUCUAGUCUCGAGGGUUUCUAAUAUGUCUAUCUCUAAUGGUUUGUCUUGUCCAGACUUAAAUUGUUCCCCUUGGGGUGCCUUGCCACUCCCUGUAUAAGUUGAAGGGGUAGGCUUACAUAGAGUCCUACUAGGACUAGGAUUAGUCUCUCUUGAAUCCUAAUCCGGGUCUUGCUUCUCUUGUGAGGGAAUGUUUCCUCUUCCUAGGCCUUCUCUAUGAGCCAACCCUCCAGGCCUCUCCAAGAGUUGCCUUUCACCGGCUUGCACACUGGGCCUUAGUCCUUGUCGUCUAGGUCGACCCAGCGAGCAAGGUGACGUAUGAGCCACCAACCUCCUGGCUGGUUCAAAUCGUGGGGUAUAUCCUCAAGAGAGGGUCUCUACAUCAUCCCCGCUUCUCCAAUGGUGAUGUGUGAGUAAUUGACCACAAACCUGUUGGAAACAUGCCCUAGAGACAAUAAUAAAUUGCUUAUUAUUAUAUUUCCUUGUUCAUAAUAAUCGUUUAUUAUCCAUGCUAGAAUUAUAUUGAUUGGAAACUCAAAUACAUGUGUUCAUGCAUAGACAACAUACUGUCCCUAGUGAGCCUCUAGUCGACUAGCUCAUUGAUCAAAGAUGGUCAAGGUUUCAUGGCCAUAAACAAGUGUUGUCACUUGAUAACGAGAUCAAAUCAUUAGGAUAAUGAUGUGAUGGACAAGACCCACACUAUGAACGUACCAUAUGAUCGUGUCAGUUUAUUGCUAAUGUUUUCUGCAUGUCAAUGUAUCUGUUCCUAUGACCAUGAGAUCAUGCAACUCCCGGACACCGGAGGAAUACCUUGUGUGUAUCAAACGUCGCAACGUAACUGGGUGACUAUAAAGGUGAUCUACAGGUAUCUCCGAAGGUGUCUGUUGGGUUAGCGUGGAUCAAGACUGGGAUUUGACACUUCGUGUGACGGAGAGGUAUCUUGGGGCCCACUUGGUCAUACAACAUCACAAUGAGCCUCGAACGAAAUGUGACUAAGGAGUUAGUCAUGGGUUCUUGUAUUGCAUAACAAGUAAAGAGACUUGCGAGUAACGAGAUUGGACUAGUUAUAGAGACACCGACAAUCGAAUCUCGGGCAAGUAACAUAUCGAUGGACAAAGGGAACAACGUACGUGAUUAACUGAAUCCUUGACAUAGAGGUUCAACCGAUAAAGAUCUUCAUAGAAUAUGUAGGAGCCAAUAUGAGAAUCCACGUCCAGCUAUUGGUUAUGGACCGAAGAAUGUCUCAGGUCAUUUCUACAUAGGUCUCGAAACCGCAGGGCGUGCACCCUUAAGGUUAGGUGACAUUUCAGUAUUAUUGAAUUAUGUGUGUUGGUAACCGAAAGUUGUUCGGAGUCACAGAUGAGAUCCUGGACGUCAUGAGGAGCUCCGGAAUGGUCCGAAGGUAAAUAUUUAUAUAUAGGAAAGUUGCAUUUGGCUUCCGAAAAGUUUUCGGGCAUUACCGGUAAAGUACCGGGAGUGACAAAUGGGUUCCGGGGUUUUUACCGGGAGGGGCCACCCACCCAGGAAAGAACUUAAUAGGCCUAAAGGUGGUGCACCCGCCCUUAGUGGGCUGGUGCGUCCAGCCUAAGAGGGCCUAUUUUGGCCAAGGAACAAAAGAAGGGGAAAACCCCAAAGGAGAGGAGGUUUCUGUGACAGCCCGAUGCCGACGUUCCAGAAGAUUCCCCUUUUCUUUCCGUUUUCGUCGUGUGUCUAUUUUCUUUUGUCGCAUCAUUAUCGCAUCAUGCACAUCAUCUGCAUUGCAUCGGCACCCCGUUGCCGCCAGUUUUCAAAACAUGUGUCCGUUGUUAGUUGCCGGUUCUCGUCGUUGUCCGUUCUGAGCCCGACCGCACACGCACGCGCCCGCGGCACCGUCGAAACCCUGUUUUUAAAGUGUGCAUAAAACUUUCUCUGAUCGGGGUGAGAUUUGACGUGAGGUAUUAUUUUAAUAUAGGUAGGCCACCUGUCAAAUUUCGUCGCGAUCGGGGUUAGUGUGGUACCCGAACGGUCGACCGUAGCGGCACCGUAUUCAGUCUAUCGUCGCACGUGUCCCGGUGUUUUAAAUCGCGUUGCCGCGCCGCCCGUUUUCCAUGUCGUCUCUGGAUAACUACUCUACACAAGCCACCGAACCUAACCCGAAGAUCAGAGCCGUCCGAUUGUGAUUGAACGGCUCGGAGCAGGCUAAAAAUAGCUAACCUACCCUAUUGCCUAUAAAUACCCCACUCCUAGCCUAUUUUGGACAAACCCUAAAAUCUAGGGAUCUGUCCCGUUGAGGCCGCCGCCACUUCAAGGAAUCCCUCGGGAUCCAUCUCAGGCAAACCUCCACCUCUCCCUUGAUCUGAUCCAGCCAACCCCCAAAGCCAGCCCGUUGACCAUCUAUGCCUAUCGGAUCUAGAGAUCCAAUGGAUACCAGCAGCUGCGGGACGGAACGCCUCGUCCCCGCAUCCCGUGCCUCGAUCCAGAGAGGAUCUAGAGCAACGCCAGGACGCCGCCGCGCGUAGUGCACCAACGUCAACCAGUUUCGGAGCCGGCCGCCGGACGCAAGCCAGAGAUCGCCUCCCUUGCCCUCUCUCCCUGUUCCCCCAUAUUUUUUUCUCAUCUCUCCGUGUGCUCGUUUCUUCUACAAGGAGCAGAACGGGAGACCGCCGACCGUGCCCCUGUCUGUCUUUUGCGAGAGAAGCACCGAGCCAGCACCGGCCCCUGCAUCUCUCUCUUCUCUGCAUCUUCAGGUGCAGCCAACGGAGGCCAUGGAGCUCGAGCCGCCCUUGCCCGGAUCCGCGUCAUCCCCAAGCCCCGCGACUCCUCCACCUGCACGAGAUCAUGUCGAUGAUGUCUUCGUUCCAUUCCCGGCCUCCCAGCUCGCCGUCUUCGCCGGAGCAUCGCGCCGCCGGCCCCUAGUUCCCCGUGGAGAGCAGCCAAAGUCACCCCUAUACGUGCUAGUUUCAGCAAGGUACACAGACAUACCCUGUUUCAGAUGCAGUUUUGUUCAGGUUUACAUUCAGCAUGGUUGUGUGCUCAUCUACAGAAGGAACCCACUUUUAACACGAACCCAUUUGUAGCUCAGUUGGUCACAAUGUUGCACCUACACCCAGUAGACUAGGGAUCGAAUCCCAGUGGCUCCAAUAUAGUUUUUUAGCGUUUUGCGUUGUCAUUCACCAGCUAUGCAUAUUAGGUAUAACCAGGCGAAUGCAUUAUGUAGCACAAGGACAUAUCUAGCCCACUGGUGACACAUGCUAGGACACCGAAGGAGGUCUUGGGUUCGAAACCUGGACUGCCCCUAUUAUUUUUGCUUUUGUGCCAUGUUUGAUUUUCGUUUUGCACACCCAAGCAAGUGGGCACAGAGCUCCCAGUGGCUGCAGCCCAGUGCACAGAUUCGGCCCAUACGUUUUUUUAUUUUAUUUUAACCUGCAAUUUUAUUUAUUUUUAGAAAAACGCAUUGAUUUUCAAAAGAGCGUAGUUUCUAAACCGUGCGACGGAUCAGAAUGGGUUAUAUAUGUAGAACGUGUAGAAUUUUAUGUAGAUUAAUAUUUUUCAACUUUCAUGCAUAAUUAGAACUGUUUAGUGUGAUGUUUACCUCGUUUUGCAUGUCGACAUGUUGAAACGGUUUAGGUCGUAACUAUUUGUCCGUAGCUCCGUUCGAGAUGUGCCAUAUAUGUAAAUGGAGCAGAACGACGAGUAGAAUCACGUGAAUCACUUUGUUUUGCCGUUUAACAAACCUAAAAUGUUAUUAUGACAAGUCUGGACAGAAUUAAGAUUUAACAUGUGGGGUCAUUUCAGAGAUGCUAUAUGUCGUUUCCGGUCUCAUUUAAAAUGUCUAGCUAGGUAGAUUAAUUUGUGCUUCACCCUCGUGCCAUGUUUAAUAACAUUUAAUAUAGUCAUGUACCUGAACGGGAGCGAACUAAAUAAUUAGAGUGGAGUUUCGUCGAUAUGCAACUCGUUGCAUACCGAGCUUCACUUAAUGUGUAGUGUUUGGUUGUUGUGUUUGUCAUGCCUUGCAUUAGACCGUUCAUGCUUCAUAUGGGUUGUGCAUUGUGUGGUGUAUAUCGUGUGUUGAUGCUUGUUUCCGUUUCCCUCCGUCUCGUUAGAGUUCCGCAAGCGUGUCGGAUGUGAGGACCGUUCGACUGCAUCGGUUCGUCUGCUUCACGGAGUCAUUCUUCUUCCAAGCGGGAUCUCAGGCAAGAUGACCAUUUCCCCAGAUACCAUUACUAUCAUUGCCAUGCUAGUUAUACCGCUUCUUCGAUUAUGUCUCAUUGCCUACCACAUGUUAAAUAUCAGCCUCUCAACAAUGCCAUGAAACCUUCAACCUGUUCGACCUAGCAAACCACUGAUUGGAUAUGUUACCGCUUGCUUAACCCUGGGUUAGCGUUGCUAGUUGCAGGUGCAGUUGCUUCCAUGUGAUAACAUGGGUCCCUUGUUAUAUCACCCUAUUAAAUGCUAUCUAUUUUAAUGCACCUAUAUACUUGGUAAAAGGUGGAAGGCUCGGCCUUNNNNNNNNNNNNNNNNNNNNNNNNNNNNNNNNNNNNNNNNNNNNNNNNNNNNNNNNNNNNNNNNNNNNNNNNNNNNNNNNNNNNNNNNNNNNNNNNNNNNNNNNNNNNNNNNNNNNNNNNNNNNNNNNNNNNNNNNNNNNNNNNNNNNNNNNNNNNNNNNNNNCAUAAUUGAGCGCUCCUAACACGAUCCGGGUUGUUAUGGGGACCCCCUUGAUAAUUCGUUUUAGAUUAAAGCUGGUCUGGCAAGGCCCAACUUUGGUUUUACAUUUGCCCAACAUAAUAAUUCUGAUAAUACUGAAAUGCAUAGGGAGUUAGCGCUACCCGAGGAGUAAUUUUACAUAAACAGGAGGGGCCAGUGUUGAUGGUGUUGGUCCCAAACGGUCUGCCUGCGGGGCCACCGCGAGGAAACUAGAGGUUUGGCACUCGUAGCUAGUUCCAUCUGUCGUGUCCUGAGAACGAGAUACGCGGCUCCUAUCGGGUACGUCGACACGUCGGGCGGCCUUGCUGGAUUAGUUUUACCUUUGACAAGAUAUAUUCUGCCUCCUCCACUCCCUCCCUCCUAUACAUACUAGAGGGCAAAUAGGCUUUUUGCACCUCAAGCCAAAGCGCAACCCUCUCUCCCUCUAGAUCAUUUGCUCCUCUUGAUUAGUUCCGCAGAAGCUUGGCGAAGCCCUACUGGAUUAGUUCACCACCACCACCACCACCACGCCGCCAAGCUGGAGAACUCAUCUACCUCUCCGCCCCUCUUUUUGGAUCAAGAAGGCGGUGAUCGUCAUCAAGCCGCAUGUGUGCUGGACGUGGAGGUGUCGUAUAUUCGGCACUAGACCGGGACGGUUUGUGAUGAGAUCGCGGGAAGGACUGUGAUUUGGAUCACGAAGAUGUUCGACUAUAUCAACCGCGUUAUAUACGCUUCCGCUUAGUGAUCUACAAGGGUAUGUGGAUCCAAUCUCUCCUCUCGUAGAUGGUCAUCGCCAUGGAUAGAUCUUAUGUGCGCGUAUGAAUUUUUUUGUUUCCCAUGCGACGUUCCCCAAGAGUGUCAUCUUGAGCUAGGUAUAUGCGUAGAUAAUAUCUCGAGUAGAACACCAAAGAGUUUGUGGGCAUUGUUGUUCAAUUUGCUGCCCUCCUUAGUAUUUUCUUGAUGCAACGGUAUUGUUGGAUUGAAGCGGCCCGGACCAACCUUACUUGUACGCUUACGAGAGACCAGUUUCAUCGACUAACAUGCAACUUGUUGCAUAAAGAUGACUAGCGAGUGUUUGUUUCUUCAACUUUAGUUGAAUCGGAUUUAACCAAAGCGGUCCUUGGAGAAGGUUAAAUAGAAACUUGCAUAUCACCAUUGUGGUUUUGCGUAAGUAAGAUGCGAUCAUACUAGAUGCCCAUAACAGCCAUGUAAAACUUGCAAUAACAAAUUAGAGGACGUCUAACUUGUUUUUUGCAGGGUAUGUUGUGAUGUGAUGUGGCCAUAGACAUGAUAUGAUAUAUUGGAUGUAUGAGAUGAUCAUGUUGUAAUAGUUAAAUAUCGACUUGCACGUCGAUACUACGACAACCGGCAGGAGCCAUAGGGUUGUCUUUAAUUAUUUUGCGCUUGGUGAUGCUUUGCUUUAUCGCUAGUGGUAGCUUUAGUAGUAACAUCAUAGUUAGUGCGACAACGUCGAUGGCAACACAAUGAUGGAGAUCAUGGUGUGGCGCCUGUGAUGAUGGAGAUCAUGUUGGUGCUUUGGUGAUGGAGAUCAAGAAGCACAAGUUCGUGGCCAUAUCAUGACACUUAUGAUUUGCAUGUGAUGUUAAUCCUUUUAUGCACCUUGUUUUGCUUAGCACGAUGGUAGCAUUAUAAGGUGAUCCCUCACUAAAAUUUCAAGAUAAAAUUGUGUUAUCCCUCACUGUGCACCGUUGCAACAGUUCGUAGUUUCGAGACAUCACGUGAUGAUCGGGUGUGAUAGACUCUACGUUCACAUACAACGGGUGAAAAACAGUUGCACACGUGGAACACUCAGGGUAAACUUGAAGAGCCUAGCAUGUACAUACAUGGCCUAGGAAUACAAGAGAUCGAAAGGUCGAACAUGAGUCAUAUAGUGGAUAUGAUCAACGUGGAGAUGUUCACUAUUGAAGCUAAACUCAACUCACGUGAUGAUCGGACUUGAGUUAGUGAAUUUGGAUCAUGUACCACUCGAAUAACCAUAGGGAUGUCAAUUUGGGUGGGAGUUCUUAAGUAAUAUGAUUAUUUGAACUCAUUAUCAUGAACAUAGUCAAAAGGUCUUUGCAGAUUAUGUUGUAGCUUGCAUUGUAGCUCUACUAUUUUUGAUAUGUCCUAUAGAAUAUUUAGUUGAAAGAUGACAGUAGAAAUUAUGCGGACUAGGUUCGUAAACUAAGGAUUGUCCUCAUUGCUGCACAUAAGGCUUAUGUCCUUAAUGCACCGCUCGAUGUGGUGUACCCCGAGCAUCGUCUGUGGAUGUUGCGAACAUCUGACAUACACGUGUUUGAUGACUACGUGAUAGUUCAGUGAGUAAUGCUUAACGGCUUAGAAAUGAGGCGCCGAAGACAUUUUGAACGUCACAGAACAUAUGAGAUGUUCCAAGAGAUGAAAUUGGGAUUUCAGGCUCGUGCCCGUGUUGAGAGGUAUAAGGCCUCCGACAAGAUUCUUUGUCUACAAAGUAAGGGAGAAAAGCUCAAUCGUUGAGCAUGUGCUCAGAUUGUCUCGGUAUUACAAUCGCUUGAAUCAAGUGGGAGUUGAUCUUCCAGAUAAGAUAGUGAUUGGCAUAGUUCUCCAAAGUCACUGCCACCAAGCUACAGAGCUUUGUGAUGAACUAUAAAAUAUGAUGGAUAGAUAUGAUGAUCCUUGAGUUAUUCGCGAUGUUUGACACCGCGAAAGUAGAAAUCAAGUGGGAGCAUCAAUUUUUGAUGGCUAGUAAAACCACUAGUUUCCAGAAGGGCAAGGGCAAGAAGGGAUACUUCAUGACUGGCAAACCUGUUGCCACUCUAGUGAAGAAACCCAAGGUUGAACUCGAACCCGAGACUAAGUGUUUAUGAUAUGAAGGGAACAAUUACUAAAGCAGCACCACCCUUGAUACUUGGUAGAUGAGAAGGCUGGCAAAGUCGCCGAAAGUAUAUUGGAUAUACAUGAUAUUGAUGUGUACCUUACUAGUACUCCUAGUAGCAUCGGGGUAUAAGAUACCGGUUCAGUUGCUAAGUGUUAGUAACUCAAAAUAAAAUCUAUGGAAUAAAUGGAGACUAGCUAAAGGUGAGGUGAUGAUGUGUGUUGGAAGUGUUUUCAAAGUUGAUGUGAUCACCAUCGCACGCUCCCUCUACUUUCGAGAUUAGUGUUGAACCUAAAUGUUGUUUGUUGUUUGCGUUGAGCAUGAGCAUGAUUGGAUUGUAUUUAUUGCAAUACAAUUAUUCAUUUAAAGAGAAUAAUAGUUAUUUUGUUUACUUGAAUAAUACCUUCAACAGUCAUGCACCUAAUAUGAAUGGUUUAUUGAAUCUUGAUCGUAGUAUUACACAUGUUCAUAAUAUUUGAUGCCAACAUAUACAAAGUAGUAAUGAUCAUAUCACUUACUUGUGGCAUUGCUGCUUGAGUCAUAUUGGUAUAAAAUGCAUGAAGAAGCUCCAUACCGAUGGAUCUAUGGACUCGCUCAUUUUUGAAAUGUUACAGACAUGCGAACCAUGUCUAUUGGUCUAAACGCAUAAAAGAAACUCCAUGCAGAUGGAUCAUUUGGACUCACUUAAUUUUGAAUCACUUGAGACAUGCAAAUCAUUCCACAUGGGCAAGAUGACUGAAGGCCUCGUUUUCCAGUGAGAUGGAACAAGAAAGUAAAUUAUUGGAAGUAAUACAUUUUGAUGUAUGCAGUCCAAUGAGUGUUGAGGCACGCAGUGGAUAUCAUUAUAUUCUUACUUCACUCAUGAUUUGAGUAGAUGCAAGAGUAUUUGCUUGAUGAAUCACAAGUCUGAAAUAUUGAAAAGUUCAAGCUAUUUUAGAGUGAAGAUCGUCGUGACAAGAGGAUAAUAUGUUUACGAUGUGAUCGUGGAGGUAAAAUCUGAGUUGCGAGUUUGGUAGACAUUGAAAACAACGUGAAAAUUGUUUCACAAUUCAUGCCACGUGGAACACCAUAGUGUGAUGGUGUGUGUGAACACCAUAGUUGCGCCCUAUUGGAUGUGGUGCAUACUAUGAUGUCUCUUAUCGUAUUACCACUAUUGUUUUUGGGCUAGGCAUUAGAGACGACCGCAUUCACUUUAAAUAGGGUACCACAUAAGUCCGUUGAGAUGACACCGUAUGAACUAUGGUUCGGAGAAACCUAAGCUGACGUUUCUUAAAAGUUUGGGGCUAUGACGCUUAUGUGAAAAAGUUUCAGCGUGAUAAGCUCGAACCCAAAGCGGAUAAAUGCAUCUUCAUAGGACACACAAAACAGUUGGGUAUACCUCCUAUCUCAGAUCCAGAAGAAAAGUGUUUGUUUCUAGAAACGGGUCCUUUCUCGAAAAAAGUUUCUCUCGAAAGAAUUGAGUGGGAGGAUGGUGGAACUUGAUGAGGUUUUGAACCAUCACUUCAACCAUAGAGUAGAAGGCCGCAGGAAACUAUUCUUAUGGCGCCUACACUAGUUGAAGUGGAAGCUAGUGAUGGUGAUCAUUAAGCUUCAGAUCAAGUUACUUCGAAACCUCGUAGGUCGAAAGGGACACACACUACUCCAGAGUGGUACGGUAACUCUGUCUUAAAGGUCAUGUUGUUAGACAACAAUGAACCUACGAGCUAUGGAGAAGCGAUGGUGGGCCUGGAUUCCGACAAAUGGUCGAAGGUCAUGAAAUCCGAGAGAGGAUCCAUGUGUGAAAACAAAGUGUAGACUUUGGAAGAACUACUUGAUGGUCGUAAGGCUGUUGGGUACAUAUGGACUUUUAAAAGGAAGACGGACAAAUGGUUGGAGGCCAUGAAAUCUGAGAGAGGAUCCAUGUAUGAAAACAAAGUGUGGACUUUGGAAGAACUACUUGAUGGUCGUAAGACUGUUAAGUACAGAUGGAUCUUUAAAAGGAAGACAAACGAUGAUGGUGAAAAGUCACCAUUAAGAAAGCUCAACUUGUCGCAAAGAUGUUUCCGACAAGUUCAAAGAGUUGACUAUGAUGAGACUUUCUCACUCGCAGCGAUGCUAAAAGUUUUGUUGGAAUUAUGUUAGAAGUUGCUGCAUUAUUUAUGAAAUCUUGCAAAUAGGAUGUCAAAACAUUGUUUCCUCGAUGGUUUCCUUGAGGAAAGGUUGUAUGUGAUACAACCAGAAGGUUUUGUCGAUCCUAAGGAUGAUAACCAGUAUGCAAGCUCCAGCAAUCCUUCUAAGGACUGGAGUAAGCAUCUCAGAGUUGGAAUAUGCGCUUUGAUGAGAUGAUCAAAGCUUUUGGGUUUAUACAAAGUUUAUGAGAAACUUGUAUUUCCAAUAAAGUGAGUGGGAGCACUAUAGAAUUUCUGAUAAGUAUAUGUGAUCAGAAAUAAUGUACAAUUUCUGGAAAGCAUAAAGGGUUGUUUGAAAGGAGUUUUUCAAAGGAAAACCUCGAUUGAGCUACUUGAACAUUGAGCUUAAUAGAACUUUCAAAUGAAUAUAUACUGUAACAAGAUUUUGAAGGAGUUCAAAAUAGAUCAGUCAAAGAAAGAGUUCUUGGUUGUGUUAUAAGGCGUGAGUAUUGAGUAAGACUCAAAAUCCGACCACGGUGGAAGAAAGAGAAAGGACGAAAGUCGUCCCCUAUGCACUAGCCGUAGGCUCUAUAGUAUGAUAUGUUGUGUACCGCACCUGAUGUGUGCCUUGGAAUGAAUCUGCCAAGGGGCAAAGAAGUGAUCCAGGAAUGGAUUACUGGACAACGGCCAAAAGUUGUCCUUAGUAACUAGUGGACUAAGGAAUUUUUUCUCGGUUAUGGAGGUGAUAAAAGAGUUCGUCGUAAAGGGUUACAUCAAUGAAGCUUUGACACUAAUUCAGAUGACUCUGAGUAGUAAACCGGAUUCGUAUAGUGGAGCAGUCAUUUGGAAUAGUUCCAAAUGGCGCGUGGGAGCAACAUCUACAGGACGACAUAGAGAUUUGUAAAGCACACACGAAUCUAAAAGGUUCAGACCCGUUGACUAAAAACCUCACUCACAAGCAAGAUAUGAUCAAACCCCAUGGGUGUUAGAUUCAUUGCAAUCACAUAGUGAUGUGAACUAGACUAUUGACUCUAGUGCAAGUGGGAGACUGUUGGAAAUAUGCCCUAGAGGCAAUAAUAAAUUGGUUAUUAUUAUAUUUUCUUGUUCAUAAUAAUCGUUUAUUAUAUAUGCUAGAAUUGUAUUGAUUGGAAACCCAAAUACAUGUGUGGAUACAUAGACAACAUACUGUCCCUAGUGAUCCUCUAUUUGACUAGCUCGUUGAUCAAAGAUGGUCCAGGUUUCCUGGCCAUAGACAAGUGUUGUCACUUGAUAAUGAGAUAACAUCAUUAGGAUAAAGAUGUGAUGGACAAGACCCAAACUAUGAACGUAGCAUAUAAUCGUGUCAAUUUAUUGCUAUUGUUUUCUCGAUGUCAAUGUAUUUGUUCCUAUGACCAUGAGAUCAUGUAACUUCCAGACACCGGAGGAGUACCUUGUGUGUAUCAAAUGUCUCAACGUAACUGUGUGACUAUAAAUGUGCUCUACAGGUAUCUCCGAAGGUAUCUAUUGGGUUAGCAUGGAUCAAGACCGGGAUUUGUCACUCCGUGUGACGGAGAGGUAUCUCGGGGCCCACUCGGUAAUACAACAUCACAAUAAGCCUUGCAAGCAAUGUGACUAAGGAGUUAGUCACGGGAUCUUGUAUUAUGGAACGAGUAAAGAGACUUGCGAGUAACGAGAUUGAACUAGGUAUAGAGAUACCGACAAUCGAAUCUCGAGCAAGUAACAUACCGAAGGACAAAGGGAACAACAUACGAAAUUAACUGAAUCCUUGACAUAGAGGUUCAACCGAUAAAGAUCUUUGUAGAAUAUGUAGGAGCCAAUAUGGGCAUCCAGGUCCCGUUGUUGGCUAUUGACCAGAGAAUGUCUCAGUCAUGUUUACAUAGUUCUUGAACCCGUAGGGUCUGCACACUUAAGGUUCAUUGACGUUUCGGUAUUAUUGAGUUGUGUGUGUUGGUAAAAAAAAGUUGUUCGGAGUCCUGGAUGAGAUCCUGGACAUCACGAGGAGCUCCGUAAUGGUCCGGAGGUAAAUAUUGAUAUAUAGGAAAGUUGCAUUUGGCUUCUGGAAAGUUUUCGGGCAUUACCGGUAAAGUACCGGGAGUGACGAAUGGGUCCCGGGGUUUUACCGGGAGGUGCCACCCACCCGAGAGAGAACAUAAUAGGCCUGAAGAUGGUGCACCAUCCCUUAGUGGGCUAGUGUGGCCAGCCCAAGAGGGCCUAUUUCGUCCAAGGAGCAAAAGAAGGGGAAAAUCCCCAAAGGAGAGGAGGUUUCCAAGUAGGAGGAGUCCUACUUGGAGUAGGAUUGGAGGUGGACUCUUCCACCUCCACGUAUUCGGCCGAGCCAAGUAUUUGCUUUUUGGCUGCCUCCUCCCCUCCCUCCCUCCUAUAUAUACUAGAGGGUAGAGAGGCUUUUUGCACCUCAAGCCAAGGCGCAACCCUCUCUCCCUCUAGAUCGUUUACUCCUCUUGGUUAGUUCCGCAAAAGCUUGGCGAAGCCCUACUGGAUUAGUUCACCACCACCACCACCACACCGCCAUGUUGGAGAACUCAUCUACCUCUCCGCUCCUCUUGCUGGAUCGAGAAGGCGGUGAUCGUCAUCAAGUCGUACAUGUGCUGAACAUGGAGCUGUCGUUCGUUCAGCACUCGAUCGGGAUGAUUCGUGAUGAGAUCGCGAGACGGACUGCGAUUUGGAUCGCGAAGAUGUUCAACUACAUCAACCGCGUUAUAUACGCUUCCGCUUAGCGAUCUACAAGGGUAUGUGGUGUUGGAAAUAUGCCCUAGAGGCAAUAAUAAAUUAGUUAUUAUUAUAUUUCUUUGUUCAUGAUAAUCGUUUAUUAUCCAUGCUAUAAUUGUAUUGAUUGGAAACACAAUACUUGAAAGGAUCGAUAUGGUUGGCUAGACGGAGGGGGUGAAUAGACAACGACCACUUUUUAAUUAAUCUUAACAAGUUAAGGUAAACACUAUACGGGUUCACAAAUAAUAUGACAAAGAGGUGAACCCUAUAGAAGCUAACAACUAGAGCUAUUAAGACAAGUAAGAUAUAGUCACAAGCAUAAGCAAAUACAAAGUAAAGGUUAGAGAUAACCACAAGUGGAACCGAUGGAGACGAGGAUGUGUUACCGAAGUUCCUUCCCUUUGACAUGAAGUACUUCUCCGUUGGAGCGGUGUGGAGGCACAAUGCUCCCCAAAAAGCCACUAAGGCCACCGUAUUCUCCUCACGCCCUCGCACGAUGCAAGGUACCGUGAUUCCACUAUAGGUGCCCUUGAAGGCGGCGACCGAACCUUUACAAACAAGGUUGGGGCAACUCCACACAAAGCUUGGAGGCUCCCAACUAAACCACGAAGCUUCACCACAAUGGAAUAUGGCUUCGAGGUGACCUCAACCGUCUAGGAUGCUCAAACACCCAAGAGUAACAAGAUCCGCAAGGGAUUGGUGGGGGAAUCAACUUUUCUCUUGGUGGAAGUGUGGAUCUAGGCCUUCUCAACCAAUCCCUAAAGAAUCAACAAGUUUGAUUGGCUAGGGAGAGAGAUCGGGCACUUUAGAGCUUGUGGAGCAACAAUGGAGCUUAGAGAGGUAAGAGAUAGGGUUCCUCAGCUAGAAGAACCCUUUAUAUAGUGGGGGGGGAAUCAGACCGUUUUCCCACUCUCUGCCCGAGUACCAGCGGUACUACCGCUGUGCCGGAGCGGUACUACCGCUGGGCCUCCAGCGGUACUACCGCUGAGCCUCCAGCGGUACUACCGCCGGCCCCUUGGUAGUGCACAAGGACUACUACCUCCGGGAAAGUCUUCGCAAAAGGGUCCGUCCACAAACUACCGCUAGGUAGGUGGAACAAAACACCUGGAGCGGUACUACCGCUGACCAGGGGCGGUACUACCGCUGGCUGCAGCGGUACUACCGCUGGCAGUCCAGCGGUACUACCGCUGGGGACCAUUUUGCAGAGAUAAACGAGACGAAUAGGCGAGGGCUGCUCCAAAAGAUAAGGAAAGGGAGAAUGUGAAGUGUGCGUGUGUAAAGAUAGAUUCCACCCAAACCUUUCCACUACGGAUCCCCUCUUAAUAGUACGGGUUUCCUAUGACUCAAAUAAAGAGAAUCGUAGAGAGCGCCGUGCUUCCGUUCCUGAAGAGAGGAGACGUGUCGUCUUGUGCCGUUGACGAGUGUUACCUGAAACUUUGACACACACGGUUAGUCCUGUACGGUACUGUCAUCAAUCACCAAAAUUACUUAGGCAUAAACUAUGCCCCAACAAUACUUGUGUGGAUACAUAGACAAAACACUGUCCCUAGUAAGCCUNNNNNNNNNNAAUGUAGAAUUUAUGUAAAGCAUACAAGGUUGUUUGAAAGGAGUUUUCAAAGGAAUACCUGGAUUGAGCUACUUGAACGUUGAGCAUCAAAAGAUCUAUGGAGAUAGAUCGAAAGCGCUUAAUGGAAGUUUCAACAAGAUGCAUGCCUUGACAAGUUUUUGAAGGAGUUCAAAAUAGAUCAGCAAAGAACGAGUUCUUAGUUGUGUUGUAAGGUGUGAAUUUGAGUAAGACUCAAAACCCGACCACGGCAGAAUAAAGAGAAUAGACGAAGGUCGUCUUCUAUGCCUUAGCCGUAGACUCUAAAGUAUGCCAUGCUGAGUACCGCACCUGAUGUGUGCCUUGCAACAAGUCUGUUAAGAGCUACACAGAGUGAUCCAGGAUUGAAUCACUGAUCAGCGGUCAAAGUUAUCCUUAGUAACUAAAUAGACUAAGGAAUUUUUCUCGAUUAUGGAGGUGCUUAAAGAGUUCGUCGUAAAGGGUUACGUCGAUGCAAGCUUUGACACUAAUCCGAAUAACUAUGAGUAGUGAAACGGAUUCGUAUAGUAGAGCAGAUAUUUGGAGUAUUUCCGAAUAGCACAUAGUAGCAGCAUCUAUAAGAUGACAUAAAGAUUUGUAAAGAACACACGGAUCUGAAAGUUUCAGAACCGUUGACUAAAACCUCCCUCAAGAGCAAGACGUGAUCAGACCCCAUAACUAUAUGGGUGUUGGAUUCGUUGGAAUCACAUGGUGAUGUGAACUAGAUUAUUGACUCUAGUGCAAGUGGGAGACUGUUGGAAAUAUGCCCUAGAGGNNNNNNNNNNNNNNNNNNNNNNNNNNNNNNNNNNNNNNNNNNNNNNNNNNNNNNNNNNNNNNNNNUAUUGGAAACACAAUACUUGUGUGGAUACAUAGACAAAACACUGUCCCUAGUAAGCCUCUAGUUGACUAGCUCGUUGAUCAAAGAUGGCCAAGGUUUCCUGGCCAUAGGCAAUUGUUGUUACUUGAUAACGGGAUCACAUCAUUAGGAGAAUCAUGUGAUGGACUAGACCCAAACUAAUAGACGUAGCAUGUUGAUCGUGUCAUUUUGUUGCUACUGUUUUCUGCGUGUCAAGUAUUUGUUCCUAUGACCAUGAGAUCAUAUAACUCACUGACACCGGAGGAAUACUUUGUGUGUAUCAAACGUCGCAACGUAACUGGGUGACUAUAAAGAUGCUCUACACGUAUCUCCGAAGGUGUUAGUUGAGUUAGUAUGGAUCAAGACUGGGAUUUGUCACUCCGUGUGACGGAGAGGUAUCUCGGGGCCCACUCGGUAAUACAACAUCACACACAAGCCUUGCAAGCAAUGUGACUUAGUGUAAGUUACGAGAUCUUGUAUUACGGAAUGAGUAAAGAGACUUGCCGGUAAACGAGAUUGAAAUAGGUAUGCGGAUACUAACGAUCGAAUCUCAGGCAAGUAACAUACCGAAGGACAAAGGGAAUGACNNNNNNNNNNGUUGAAAUAGGUAUACAGAUACUGACGAUCGAAUCUCGGGCAAGUAACAUACCGAAGGACAAAGGNNNNNNNNNNGGAUCUUGUAUUAUGGAACGAGUAAAGCGACUUGCCGGUAAACGAGAUUGAAAUAGGUAUGCGGAUACUGACGAUCGAAUCUCAGGCAAGUAACAUACCGAAGGACAAAGGGAAUGACAUACGGGAUUAUAUGAAUCCUUGGCACUGAGGUUCAAACGAUAAGAUCUUCGUAGAAUAUGUNNNNNNNNNNUGAGUAAAGAGACUUGCCGGUAAAACAAGAUUGAAAUAGGUAUACGGAUACUGACGAUCGAAUCUCGGGCAAGUAACAUACCGAAGGACAAAGGGAAUGACAUACGGGAUUAUACGAAUCCUUGGCACUGAGGUUCAAACGAUAAAGAUCUUCGUAGAAUAUGUAGGAUCCAAUAUGGGCAUCCAGGUCCCGCUAUUGGAUAUUGACCGAGGAGUCUCUCGGGUCAUGUCUACAUAGUUCUCGAACCCGCAGGGUGUGCACACUUAAGGUUCAACGUUGUUUUAUGCGUAUUUGAGUUAUAUGGUUGGUUACCGAAUGUUGUUCGGAGUCCCGUAUGAGACCACGGACGUCACGAGGGUUUCCGGAAUGGUCCGGAAACGAAGNNNNNNNNNNNNNNNNNNNNNNNNCUGUUCGGAGUCCCGGAUGAGAUCACGGACGUCACGAGGGUUUCCGAAUAGUCCGGAAACAAAGAUUGAUAUAUAGGAUGACCUCAUUUGAUUACCGGAAGGUUUUCGGAGUUACCGGGAAUGUACCGGGAAUGACGAAUGGGUUCCGGGAGUUCACCGGAGGGGGGCAACCCACUCCGGGGAAGCCCAUGGGCAUUUGGGGGGGUCACACCAGCCCUUAGUGGGCUGGUGGGACAGCCCACCAAUCCCCUAUGCGCCAAGAGAGAAAAAAUCAAAGGAAAGAAAAAAAGGGAAGAAGUGGGAAGGGGGAAGGACUCCCUCCCACCAAACCAAGUAGGACUCGGUUUGGGGGGGAGAGUCCUCCCCCCUGGCUCGGCCGACCCCUUGGGGAUCCCUUGGACCCCAAGGCAAGGUCCCCCUCCCUCCUCCUAUAUAUAUGNNNNNNNNNNGCAACCCACUCCGGGGAAGCCCAUAGGCUUUUGGGGGACACACCAGCCCUUAGUGGGCUGGUGGGACAGCCCCAAGGGAGCCUAUGCGCCAAGAUAAGAAAAUCAAAGGAAAAGAAAGAAAAAAGAGGGAAGAAGUGGGAAGGGAGGGGGACUCCUCCCACCAAACCAAGUCCAACUCGGUUUGGGGGGGGAGUCCUCCCCCCCCUUGGCUCGGCCGACCCCUUGGAAGUCCCUUGGACCCCAAGGCAAGGUCCCCCUCCCUCCUCCUAUAUAUAUGGGGCUUUUAGGGCAGAUUUGAGACGACUUUCUCACGGCUGCCCGACCACAUACCUCCAUAGUUUUUCCUCUAGAUCGUGUUUCUGCGGAGCUCGGGCGGAGCCCUGGUGAGACAAGAUCAUCACCAACCUCCGGAGUGCCGUCACGCUGCCGGAGAACUCUUCUACCUCUCCGUCUCUCUUGCUGGAUCAAGAAGGCCGAGAUCAUCGUCGAGCUGUACGUNNNNNNNNNNNNNNNNNNNNNNNNNNNNNNNNNNNNNNNNNNNNNNNNNNNNNNNNNNNNNNNNNNNNNNNNNNNNNNNNNNNNNNNNNNNNNNNNNNNNCUUCGUGCGCGUAGGAAUUUUUUUGUUUCCCAUGCGACGUUCCCCAACAGUGGCAUCAUGAGCUAGGUUCAUGCGUAGAUGUCUUCUCGAGUAGAACACAAAAGGUUUUGUGGGCGGUGAUGUGCGUUUUGCUGCCCUCCUUAGUCUUUUCUUGAUUCCGCGGUAUUGUUGGAUUGAAGCGGCUUGGACCGACAUUACUCGUACGCUUACGAGAGACUGGUUUCAUCGUUACGAGUAACCGCCUUUGCUCAAAGAUGACUGGCAAGUGUCGGUUUCUCCAACUUUAGUUGAAUCGGAUUUGACCGAGGAGGUCCUUGGAUGAGGUUAAAUAGCAACUCAUAUAUCUCCGUUGUGGUGUUUGCGUAAGUAAGAUUCGGUCCUACUAGAUACCCUUGGUCACCACGUAAAACUUGCAACAACAAAAUUAGAGGACGUCUAACUUGUUUUUGCAGGGUAUGANNNNNNNNNNNNNNNNNNNNNNNNNNNNNNNNNNNNNNNNNNNNNNNNNNNNNNNNNNNNNNNNCUUGUGAUGUGAUAUGGACAGCGAUGUGAUGUGAUAUAUUGGAUGUAUGAGAUGAUCAUGUUGUAAUAGAUAAUAUCGACUUGCACGUCGAUGGUACGCAACCGGCAGGAGCCAUAGGGUUGUCUUUAUACUAACGUUUGUGCUUGNNNNNNNNNNCGUCGAUGGUACGGCAACCGGCAGGAGCCAUAGGGUUGUCUUUAUACUAACAUAUUCGUGCUUGCAGAUGCGUUUACUAUUUUGCUAGGAUGUAGCUUUAGUAGUNNNNNNNNNNUGUCGAUGGUACGACAACCGGCAGGAGCCAUAGGGUUGUCUUUAUACUAACGUUUGUGCUUGCAGAUGCGUUUACUAUUUUGCUAGGAUGUAGCUUGAGUAGUAAUAGCAUAAGUAGCACGACAACCCCGAUGGCAACACGUUGAUGGAUGAUCAUGGUGUGGCGCCGGUGACAAGAAGAUCGUGCCGGUGCUUUGGUGAUGGAGAUCAAGAAGCACGUGAUGAUGGCCAUAUCAUGUCACUUAUGAAUUGCAUGUCAUGUUAAUCCUUUUUAUGCACCUUAUUUUGCUUAGAACGACGGUAGCAUUAUGAGGUGAUCUCUCACUAAAAUUUCAAGACGAAAUUGUGUUCUCCCCGACUGUGCACCGUUGCUACAGUUCGUCGUUUCGAGACACCACGUGAUGAUCGGGUGUGAUAGACUCAACGUUCACAUACAACGGGUGCAAAACAGUUGCGCACGCGGAACACUCGGGUUAAGCUUGACGAGCCUAGCAUGUGCAGACAUGGCCUCGGAACACAUGAGACCGAAAGGUCGAGCAUGAAUCGUAUAGUUGAUAUGAUUAGCAUAGAGAUGCUUACCACUGAAACUAUUCUCGACUCACGUGAUGANNNNNNNNNNNNNNNNNNNNNNNNNNNNNNNNNNNNNNNNNNNNNNNNNNNNNNNNNNNNNNNNNNNNNNNNNNNNNNNNNNNNNNNNNNNNNNNNNNNNGGAGAGGAUCCAGCGCUACUCACAAGUUAGCAGUAGCUCCGGUGCGGAUCCAGCGCUACUGCUAGAUUUAGUUAACCGGCUAACUCGAUCACCUCUCCCCCACUCCUUCCCUCUCCGUUCGACCGGCCCUCUCUCCCUCUCGCCUGUGAUCCAGCGCGCUGCUUCUUCCCUCUCCGCCACUGACUCCCUCCAAGUGUCGUCGUGCCACCUCCACACGUCGCCGCCCCUCCAAGCGCCGCCGGGCCACCUUCAUGCGCCGUUGUUCGACCACCUCCCCUCCCGCUCCGGUAAGCCCCCCGCCCCCUCCUCCCUACCGCCUCGCUCGCCCACCCUAGCACCACACCGCACGCCUCCCCCUGUCGUGGACGCCCCCGUUGACCGUGGACGCAACAUUUUCACCUAAAGUUUGUUCAAAGGUUAUUCAAUCCAUCUAAAGUAAUAUAUGUGGAUAGGAGAUAGUAGUAGUGUUUAUCAGUAAUUUUGGUAUGAGGAUCUACCAAUGCAUCUAGGGGUUAAGAGACUUAGUGAAGAUGGGGUGGUUGCUGACCUAGGGCAUGUAAGAAUGUUUGGGGGGAAUUUUUGCAAUAUGGUUAGGCAUGAGAGGUUGUUCAUAAUAUUCUCUGUUUUACCCCAUCUUUUGUACUUGUUCAUUGUUGCUAUAUCCUAGUGGCCUAUGUUUUGUCGGAAUGUUGAUUCAUUUCCGUUCCGGAAAAUUUCAAACGCUCCAUAUAUCCACUUUUUAGUAAAUGUCAUGCCCAAAUUUUUUCUGUUUUAGGAAAUGUCUGACGACGAAGGGGAAUUCGUUAUGUGCGAAUACUGCCAAGACAAGCGCGGCCUUUGCGACACGCCUUGCCUAGUUGAUGAUAGGCGCUUCAGCAUCAUGCUGGAUGAGGACUUUGAAGUGGAUACAGUAAGUCACAACGACAAGUCCACUUGAUAGGCUUGAAAAGCAUCUUUGUAUGCGAUGGUGCUCUUCCAGAUCUCUGUAUGGCAGUUGGUCUCUUUUUUUUCCGACAUUGCUAUGGUGGUGUCGGAGGAUAUUUGUGGACUAUGUUUCGAUGAGGCACAAGUUUCUUCAAGGAUGAAAUAGUAAUUUUACUUCAUGUGGAACUCUUUGUGCAAAGUUGUUGACAAGCAUGUUUAUCUCUUAUGAUGACCAUAUGUGUAAUUUUUGUGAACAAAUUAUCUAAUGAAAUACUCCCUCCAUCCGGAAAUACUUGUUUUAAAAAUGAAUAUAAUGAAUGUAUCUAUAACUAAAAUAAGUCUAGAUACAUUUAUCUUUAGGAUAAUUAUUUCCGGACGAAGGUAGUACGAUGUUGCUUAAAAAAGACGCCCAUCGAAUUCAGAAAGAGACAAUACCAAAAGGCUAAAACUGGAAAGACGAUACCUCCUAAAAGUGCCAAAACUAGAAGGAUCAGCAAUCCCCACUCAUGUGCAAUAAACAGUCUAGAACUUCGACUCUUCUUAACGACAUAAACAAUAAUUGAGCCUGAAAGAUUGGCAUCGCCGCCCGACAAAUGAAACAAUGAACUCUCACUCACCAUGUACUCUUGCUUCAGUUGAGCGCCGUGGGAAAGCUCAAUCAGCAAAGCUAAUCAAAGCGUUUUUAGAACGUACCACCACACCUUUUGAUGGCAGCUAGGGCAUGUUGAAGCAUUUAUAUUGAUUUUUUUUCUUCAAUGCAACCUAUUACUAGUGGGCAUCAUCAAGGGGAAAAAAACUCUGAUCUACAUGCAUCUCUAUUUUUUACUUUAACUUUUCAGCUUUUUACAUCGAAUUACAUCUUUUCUUCCUAAGCACCGCCUCUUGCUGGAUCCCGCUACACCAUCCGAGACCAUACACGAUCCUACAUGGCAUGUGGGACAUCAUUUUGAGGCUAUGCAUUGGGCAUGCACUUAUGCCCUUGAUUGCAUCACACCAUACGGAGCACACAUGAAGGAUGGGAAGACUUUCGCCGACAAGCAAAGUGGACUCGGGUAACACGGUGUAUACACCGACACUGGGGGCUAAUUUUUGUGUUAUGACCCUUUUAUGAAAAAUGAUCGAGAUCUAACCUAGUUUGUAAAAAAAAUAGGUUCUGAUCAUUUUCCUAUCAUCGGGAUCCAUGACGAUAAGGUACAACGGCCUACCGCCGGGGUCCAUGACGAUAGAGUAUAGCAACCUACUGUCAAGGUUCCUCGCAGUAGGGAUGUACGCCCUACCGUAAAAAUUUCCUAAGCAUCGGAUACAAUGCGUGUUCGCACCUACAGUCGAGCACCUCGAUGAUAGGGUUGUAUAGACUACCGUCAACUUAUUUGACGAUAGAGGUGCGUCGCGCUCACUUUAAUAAGUUUUCUACGGACACCGAUGGUAGGAAAAAAAGUCAGAUCUCAAAAUUUUUACAAACCAGAGUCAGAUCUCGCUCAACUUCUGUAAAAGGGUCAAAAGGCAUGGAUUGUUUUCUCGGACAUCUGAUACGCGUGUGCUUUAAAGCAUCUAUAGUCGGACCCCUCCUAUCCAUCUCAAACGUCCGGGUAGGCUAUCCGGUUACUAGUCGUUCACAAAAAAUCAAUCUCUAAUAUGAAGACGGUAUGAGGGCUCGCAAACGCGCCCGGGCACGCCCGAUCAGUCCGCCACCUCGGACGUGACCCCAUUCCGGACCACCUUUUCUCUUUGUUUAUUUAUUAUUUCAUUAUUUAUUUCUCUCCCUUCUUCAUCAAUCACGUGCAACUGAUCGGACAGAUGAGGAAAAAUAUGAUUAUACGGAUGAAAAAAUAGAGGCUCAAAAUGAACACGCUCGGUCACUGACCGGACGCGUCCACGAAUGCUUGAGGAACCGGAUUUAGAGCAAGUAUAAUAAGAUACAGACAACAGGCUGUAAGGAUUAAAAUACUAUAUUUUUGCUGAGUUGGAUGAGAGAGAAGAGGAGAGAGAAGGGAAGCGGGCUCUUCGUGAAGAGUCAGCUCUAGCACGUGCUCCUAGGUGCUUUGUGAGAAUGAAAGGUGAGCCAUAUAUGAUAAAAGUAGUACUCCCUCCAUCACAGUUUAUAAGGCGUGCACGCGUACUUAGGUCGUCAAUUUGACUUAUAUAAAAUAUAUUGUUUAACAUAAAAAAUAUAUUAUUAGAAAAUAGAACAUCUAAAGUUUCUAAUGAUAUAUUUUUUGUAAUAUAUGUCUCUUAUUAAAUUGAUCAAAUAAACGACCUAGAUACACGUGCCGGACUUAGAGCAUCUCUAGUGGAUGGUGUAUAUUUGAACGUGUAUAUCUUCAUAUACACGUCCAUAUACACGGCGUGGAAAUUAUACACGUCCUAGUUUUUCAGUGAAACGUGUAAAUUAGGACGUGUAUAUUCCCCUCAUUCUUUCCCCCUCUGCAAGAUAAGAGAUUCAGUAGUGCACACAGGUUCAGAGAACAAGACAGGGGAGCUUCGCCGCAUUGCAGCCGUCUCCCUCGUCGCCGGCAGCCUUCCCCGUGGCAUCCAAGAUGUCCAUGGACUCGAGGGUGCCUCCCUCGUUCCAUUCCCAUCGCUAGGGUGACCGGUGGGCCACCACAGCGACGGCACCAACCUCGUCUCCGACGAGUACCCGGAGCCAAAGCCCUGCAGCAGGAGGAGGAGCCCCCGUGCUCCAGCCAGCCAUUUCGGCGCCCGACGCAGCCCCUGUCCCGGCCUUGCCUGAGGAGGAGCAGCAACUGCGGGGCGGACGGGAACCCUAGAGGCCUCGCACCUCCGAGAUCCGUCCGAACUGGGGGUGAGGACGGCGCGGCCGGGCCGCAAGCGGCGUGGGCGGGACGGGCAGGCGUCCGGGCACAGGGAGCCCUGGCCUUGCUUCUCAGGGAGGAGGAGGCGGCGGUGGGCCGGCGGGCGGCGGUGGGCCGGCGGGCGGCGGCCGGAGGAAGGGGGAGGGGAGACCGGAGGCGGCUGCGCGGCCUUGCUCCUCAGGGAGGAGGAGCCCCCUACUCCAGCGCCACCGCCAGCCCGCACCCCGCAGCGNNNNNNNNNNNNNNNNNNNNNNNNNNNNNNNNNNNNNNNNNNNNNNNNNNNNNNNNNNNNNNNNNNNNNNNNNNNNNNNNNNNNNNNNNNNNNNNNNNNNNNNNNNNNNNNNNNNNNNNNNNNNNNNNNNNCACGACGAGUAGCCUCGUGGAUGGACGUGUAUAACUUCCACGCCCGUAUACACGUUCCACUGGGAGGCAUUUUUCUGUUAGCAACGUGUAUAUUUACCAUCCACCUCCAUAUACACCAUCCACUAGAGAUGCUCUUAUAAACUGAAACGGAGGAAGUACUUUUUUAUAGCUAACUAUUGUACAAGCUAGCUAUAAGAUUGACUAUAAGAUGGCUUAUAGCCAGCAGUUGACUAUACUGUUAACCAUGCUCUUACAAGUUCCAUCCGUAGAUGCUCUAGGCAUGGCACGACGACGUAUGUCGUUGGGACAGUCUUAGAGCAUCUCUAGUGGAACGUGUAUACACCUUGCUAAAUUUUACACCUCCCAGUUUUUCAGUGGAACGUGUAUACAGGACGUGGAAAUCAGGACGUGUAUAUUCCAACGGCUAUAUUUUCAAACGGCUAUAUUUUCAACGGCUAUAUUUUCAACGGCCAUAUUUCUGGUCUAUAUAAACCGCCCCAAUCACCUCUCUUCCAGCAUUUCUAGUUGUGCCUCAUCUUCUCACUUCUAGAUUUCUCUAUCGUCUCUCACACAACACAAUGAACACAUUCUCUUGGGACAUGAGUUCUUCAUCAUCUUCAUCGGGCGACGAUGAACUCAUACUUGCGGCAUUAGCCGAUCGCGAGGAGGAAGAGAGGAUGAACACUCGACGCCAUGGCGGUUCCAUGCAUGGACGUCAGUCAAUCGAUCGAGGAAGAGAUGCCGGAUUUCUUCUUCUCUGGAACGACUAUUUCAAAGAAGUUCCUCGCUUUUCCGAACAUUUGUUUCGACGAAGGUUCGUAAUUAGUACACUUCUCUGCUUUGGUUCUUUUUUCAUUUCCCCGUCUCAUUGACUUUUUAUGCAUAGAUUUAGGAUGUCGCGUACUUUGUUCAACCGCAUAGCUGAUGGUAUACUUGAACAUGACUAUGAUGGUUAUUUUACGCAAAAAAGAAGUGCUUCUGGAGCUCUUGGGUUACAUCCUCUACAAAAGAUGACCGCGGCAAUGCGGAUCCUCACAUAUGGAAUAGCAACUGAUGGUGUUAAUGAGUACAUCGGGUCCGCUGAGGCUACUAAUUUAGAGUCUUGCAAGAAAUUUGUGAUCAAAGUUUGUGAAGUUUCUGAGGAAAAGUACAUGAGAUCUCCAAAUGAAGAAGACAUUGCUAGGUUACUUGCAAUAGGUGAGGAAAGAGGAUUACCUACAAUACUGCCAGUGAUAUGCACAAACAAUACAGAAGUGAGAACACGAAUUGUUCUCCUUGCCUACAAUAUUGCCAGUGAUUGAUUCCCCCCAUAAUUCACUUCUAUUGCAUUCUUGAAGCAGCAGCAGCGGGUUCNNNNNNNNNNNNNNNNNNNNNNNNNNNNNNNNNNNNNNNNNNNNNNNNNNNNNNNNNNNNNNNNNNNNNNNNNNNNNNNNNNNNNNNNNNNNNNNNNNNNNNNNNNNNNNNNNNNNNNNNNNNNNNNNNNNNNNNNNNNNNNNNNNNNNNNGUGCGCCCCAGACCUCUCUGGAAUGGAAAAUAGAAGGGAGGGAGAGAGCUUACCAGAGGGGAGUGGUCGCCGGCGAGCUUCGAUGGCCUUUGGACGGAGGCGGGAGCAGCUUGUUUCCCUUUCCACUAGCGUGGCCGAGCCGUGUGUAUUUGCACGAGAAGUAGCGUUGUGGAUGGACAUGUAAAACUUCCACGUCCGUAUACACGAUCCACUGGGAAGUGUUUUUCAGUUUUCAUAGUAUAUAUUUAGUUUUCAUAGUAUAUAUUUACCAUCCAUCCGUAGAUGCUCUAACAAGUUCCAUCCGUAGAUGCUCUAGGCAUGGCACAACGACGUAUGUCGUUGGGACAGCCGAACGACAGGCGUGUGGCGCAGUCAGGGGGUGGGGUGCCUAGAGAGGCCUACACGCCGCGUGAACCCCAGCUUUUCCGUUGUUGGGCGAACCCCUCCGCCCCUCACCACCGAAGGAGCCCUCCGGAAAAGGCCAACUCCGGGAGCUUUCCUUUGCCCCCCACGCCACGCGGAAAGCGAAAGAGGUUAGCUAGCUUUCCAGCUCCAAAGUUGCAAGUGCGACGCCGCCCGCCCAUGGGUGGACGGACGGGUGGCGGCCUUCAGGUUCAGGUUUAGGCGGGCGGCCACCGGCCUGGCCGGUGAGAAGGACCUGGGACGGCAUUUUUCUUUCAGCGCACAGGGGAAGAAGAAUCCCCGCGAUGCCCAUGAUGGCUCGAUUUGUCAAACGCUAGCUAUAACCUAGAAAGAAAAGAAGAAAAGGAAGAAAAGGCUAAAACAGCAUGGCGAAAAUCUGAAGAGCUAAAGUCACAGGCCACAGGUCACGGAGUAGCAACACGACGCGCACCGCAAAUCUAUCUUAAAUUCCUUAGCUUGCAGGACAGCCGAUCGCCAGCCACCGGCCAAGGCGGCCAGCGGCGCUGCCGGCACGACCACCCUGGCUCGCCGUGGAUGACGCACCGUACUACCGCCGUAGUGCUAGUGUCCGCCCGUGGCCACGCAGCCGCGACCGCGCACGAGACGAGCGCAGCGAAAUGGCAUGGACGGACCCACCAACCCUAGGACCCCGAUCCGAUGGUCGUUCUCCUUCCAUCCAUCCUUGCCCCACCGACCCCGUGGCCUACUCCACGGCUGUUCCCGAGCUGGCCUCCACCCCACCCUCGGGGUCACUGCACUGUCGCUCGGCUCCGCUUACAACAAAUCCAGUAGAAAGCAACAAAGAAUUCCUCGCCUCGAGAUGCCACAUACCACCAGUGGUCGCGUGGAGCGCCACUACAGUACCAGCGGUUUUUUAAAGGUGACCAGACCAGAUCUGCCCCUGCCCAGCCUCAGAUCCAUUCCGCUUCCGCCCGCGUGAUGCACGUACGAACGAGCACGAGCAUUCUAGUGCUAGUUGCUACUAGCACUAUACCAAUACGUACUAUAUAUGUAUACUACACCCUCCAAGAUCCGAUCUGCUGGAGCAACUUAGAGCUAGAAAUCAAGCUACGAGCUACUGUAGUUAUGGACGAAGCUGCAAGAACAGAGUGUAAUAAGCAGCGACGGAGAAAGAAUAAUAAUGAUGAUACAUAUGGUGAGAGGAAUUAACUGGGGGAUUGUACAAUGGAUAUGGAUCGAGCACCACCAGCAACGACGGCCAAACAAUCAGAUCUGUCCACGCCCAACACACGCAUAACACGGAGGAGUGUCCUACUACGAAUCCGAAUGCCGAAUGUAAUAAUCAUCAACGCAACAACAACAAAAGAAGAAGAAAAAAAAGGAAGAUAAACAGCUCCAAGAACACCACCACAAAAGGAGAGGGAGCGGGGCCCUCGGAUAAAUUAAAUACUCUUGCAGGCAGCCGAUCUGCCGCGGGGGCGGGAUCUCUCAGUAGAAGGCGGCGGCGGCGGCCACGGCGGCGGUGGCGACCCACGCGGCGGCGGGGUGGACGCCGGCGGCGGCGCUGGCGGGGGUGGUGGGCGCGUCCAUGGACGGGGCGGGGGACGGGCCCAUCAUCGACGGCUCCGGCGGCGAGCUCAUGUNNNNNNNNNNNNNNNNNNNNNNNNNNNNNNNNNNNNNNNNNNNNNNNNNNNNNNNNNNNNNNNNNNNNNNNNNNNNNNNNNNNNNNNNNNNNNNNNNNNNNNNNNNNNNNNNNNNNNNNNNNNNNNNNNNNNNNNNNNNNNNNNNNNNNNNNNNNNNNNNNNNNNGGGGGAGGCAUGACCGGGGCCACGGCCGGCGGGGGAGACACCGGCGCCGGGGUCGGCGGCGGCAUCAUCGGAGGCGGGGACACCGGGGCCACGGGGGCCGGCAUCGGGGUGGCCGCCGGGGCCUGGGCCGCGGUGGCGGCGAAGAGCAUGGUCAGGGCCAGAGCCACCAGCUGGAUGCGCGCCAUUGGAGGAGUGAAGAGGAGAGCUUGAGCUUGAGCUUGAGCUUGAGCUUUGCUUUUGCUUGAGGUGGUGCUGCUGCUGGUGUACUGUAAUGGUGUCCGAGACGGUAUUGGGCCGGGAGAUUAUAAAGGGGUCGCGGACGGGGCUACGACGACGAAUUAUAUGAAGACCCAGGGGGCUCCGUGCUAAUUUCCGAUCCUGGUAGCCGUCCGAUCGACAUCCGACGGCUCGUAUGGUUGGAAAGCUUCAACUCUUUUUUCUUCCCCAAACUUCUGACUUCUGAACAGCAAGCAAGUUUCAGAAAAACAAGCUAAAUCCCAACAGCUGGCGGAGAUCAUGUCAUUUGGUUCACGGGAAAUUCUCUCGCGAUAUAAGAGUCUGGUGAUUAUUUGCUUUCCUUUUUUUUGUCAUGGUUCACGCGUAAUUCUGGUCGACGGUGAGCUGGGUUUCCUUCCUGUUCCGUCUUGCCUAAUUUUGUCUUGGGGGUUUGAAAAUCGUGUGCAUAAUCCCACCCCUAUCUUCGGUUCAUGGACCCGAUCAAUUAGUCCAUUGCAGAUAUUUGCGGUAAAAUAUUAUGGACGAUCAAUGCAAAAUGGCAAGCAGCUAAUGAGCCAAUUGGCCCACGCGUUUGCAGUGUUCUUUACAACGAUAACAAAAUGUCAGACUUUAAAACAAUGUUAACUUCGAAAGUCAAAGUUUUUUUACAUGGGUGGCACACAUGCAUGUAAACGGACACGCACGCGUAAAUGUGAAAUAGCAAGUGGUAUUUGCUAAUGAGCCGACUGACCCACGCGUUUGCGGAGCUAGUGCAUCGAGUUUUUUCUACAAGAUAAUAAAAGGUCGGAUUUCAAAAACAAAGUUACUUCCAAAGUCAAAGUGCUUUUUCUCGCAAUUACGUUGGUGACGCACACGCAGACACGCACGCGCAAAUGUGAAAUAUCAAGUGCUUGUUAAUGAGCCGAUUGGCUCACGCGAUUGCGAUGUUUGUGCACUGAGUUUUCUUUACAAGGAUAAUGGAGGUCCAUUUCCAACAACAAGGUUGCUUCCAAGGUCAAGGUGCUUCUUUAUGCAGUUACAACACACAUGUAGACACGCACAUACACACACUCAGAACCUUGCAUAUUUUCGACAUUUUUCUCUUCUUUUUUGAGGGCAGGUUCAGCCCAUCAACAUGUGAAAGUAAGCACCCGUGACUGUGCAAUGUUUAGUUGAGGUAAAAGUGGAGAAAAUAACCAUCAAGUGAAUGGGGCGACUCAUUCCAAGAUGAUUUACCAAUUUUCGUGUGCGGUUUUUCCUGUAUGAUUGGAUGAAACUUGUGCGUGUCAAAUCAUCGAAUAUCGUCAUCUUUCUCACCGAAAGAUCAAUAACCAACAUUGUCUCAUCAAUUCGUGAUGUAUGGUGUUCCCUCGUAUGCAUCAUAUUUUUUGCUCUAUAAACAAAACUUACAAAACUAACAAGAGGUCCACAUUGUGUAUGUGUGCACACGCGCGGCGUGGGACAAUUAUAACAAAAAUGUCUUUCUAUAAAAUAGACAUAAAAUAGAGCUCCUUGUUUUGAUCAUUUGAUGAUAGCAUCAACCAGCUAAGAUUAGUUGCCUACAAAAUAAAUACCUUAGCAAUGAAAUGAUUGGUUUGGUGCUAAUCAAUGGAGCGCACGUUGUCCUCACCAAUUCUAUAUUGAGCCGUUGGUGAAUGAUGGGUUGCUGUCAGCGUUUCUCCAUCAAAAUCUUGGGUUUACAAAAGAACGAUACGAGAAAGUAAUCACACUAACACAGACGGUUAGGAAAACAAGAGAAAAUUCUACUGUCAAGUUAUCUCUUCCGUGUAUUCUUCAUGCACAUUUUUAUUUUAUUUUUGCACAUUGUUUGGCUUGCAAGUUUUAGUCUCCUGCCUAUUAUGUUAGCUGGAAGGAGAUAAAGUUCUUGGUCCCCGACGAAAAAUAGGUUCACUUGGGAGGACAAUGGUGUACAGCCUAACCAAACCCUUUUCAAAACCUAAAGCUCCACACGUUCAGGUUGCUCGAUUUGGUCCAUAAGGGUAUACCUAACGCGCCAAAUGUUUCCAAAACCUAAUGUGCCCCGUUUUUUUCCUUCACAAUAUCCAUCUUGUUCCACAAGAUAAAUCCAGAGAUUUCCAACCUAACCAUACCCUUCCAAAACCCAGCGCUCCACUCCUCCAACGUUCAUAUUCUUUGGACAAGAGAUACACACGAAUACACUUGUCUGGUUCCUAACCACCAUGUGGAAGAGUGUGAUUAUGCUAGUUGAUAGGCAGCUCUGAAUCAGACCGACAAUAGGAAGCCCCUAUCUGGAAGCAAGAGUUCAAAUGCAAGUAUGGACUAAUCGCAACGGCGAACGGUCCCUGCAAACUUUGGAGACCAAGUUAAUUCACGAUUUUCAGAGUAACUUUGUCGAAACUCAUGUUUCGUUCCUUAUUAAACUGGGGUCAAUAUCUAAUUAUAAGAGCAUGUUCGCUAGUUGAAUCAUUGUGCCUCCAUUUUAAGGCUUAAUUUGUGAUUGCUGAACUGUGUUGUGUUAUGAUGAUUUCAUAAUUACUAGUCCCUCCGUUUUUAAAUAUAAGUCUUUUUAGAAUUUUUAUUAGAGACUACAUACGGAUGUAUAUAGACAUACUUUAGAGUAUAGAUUAACUCAGUUUGCUUUGUAUGUAGUCACUUAGUGAAACCUCUAAAAUACUUAUAUUUAGAAAGGGGGGAGUAUGUAAAAUUAGCCACAAAAGUAGACAAAAGCGGUUUAAACGCACGCUCAGAUAGGCAAAAACAUAUUAGGCAACACAAGGUUAUCACAAACCACCACAAUACCAAACUCGGCCUAAGUAAAGCUGACUUUUUCCUAGACAAGAAAAAUGCAACGUGUGUAUGACAAUGAUGUUAGAACAAGCCAACAAAGGCAAGAACAUGAGUUUUCAUCUGGAGAUCGCCUCCAGAAAUUGAAGAUAAUACCACAAGGAGAUGACGUGAGAGCAAUGUCGACAUGUCGUUCCCACGUCUAACCAAUGAAGACUAUACCAACCAAUGGAGGCCAACUCAUUCAAUUACUAUACCACGUCUUGGCGCUCAAAAUCGAACAUCACUUGAUCCAACCAAUGGAGGCUAACUCAUUCACGACGAUUGCGACAAUGUCCGUUCAAGAUUUGGCAUGGCCCAAUGACAAGAAACCUCAUGCUAGCGUACUGGUAUCGCUCCACCAUGGAGCUUACUAGAACCGCCAAAACGCUUUGAAGGGGUCGCCCCUCCGCCCUCAUGUCGACGAUGCCCCUGCAGCCACCCCGGCUUCCAUGUCAUAAUCCACAACAUGUCAUCCUCUAACGGGCAGCCAUCACGACCGGAUAUCGACAAGAGCCCCUAACACCACUAUCGGUCGCAAGACCUUUGGUCAUGGCAUCCUCUGGCGGUGGAGGAGGGGGUUGAAGGAAGGCAUGGUAGAGAUGCUAACUUCCUUAACUACACUUUGUAUACAAUAAAGUAGAGAAAUCUCCCAAUCAAUCUUUGCGUCUAAAAAUGCACACAGCCAACGAACAUUAUUGACCUUCCGAAGGACGAUAUAAAGCCGUAUUCCCAUCGUUCUGGGCCGCCGUGAGUUGCCAACAAACAUCCUGAUCCUGCCCGAAAUGCUAUCCACCGAAUGACAUCUGAGCCGAUCCGAUUUAACAAACAGCAAGCUUGCCAAAAACAAGUCCGUUGGUCCGAUCAGAGCCUCGUCGGGUCCAUGGAAACGGGGCUGUGGCCAGGGUGGAAGAUUCCGGCCGGUCGGCCAGCCGCGGUGUAGUACAGAGCUACGUGACGCCGACGUACCAACUAAGCCAAGACAACCACCAUCUUCCGAGUGAAAUCAAAUGAGAUCGACUACGUGACGGCCGCGAACUCUGCUGGGCAGUGUGAUACAGUUCGUCGAGGUGUCGCCUCCCAUGGCCCUGUUGCACGCCCACGAAGCAUGUAGCAGUGCUGUACAGUUGUAUAAUAACCGGAGAUGCCGCGUGGGCCAAGGGGGUUAUGGUAGAGGAUGUCAUAGAGGAGCUGUGGACAGCCAGGGCUAGGCAUUUUGCUUGGCGACUCAUCAGAGUGUUUACGAAGGCAUUGACUCGUGGCAAAUGGAUGGCAAAUCUCAUGCUGCGUCAGGUAAAAAGUGGGCAUAGUUUUCUUGCCGAUUCCUGUAUGGUUUUCCAUGUUCGUUAUGGAGAAUUAUGUUCAGCGGUCGGUUGGAAGAAGGCCUUCACAUAUUCGGAAGAAAGUGGGUGUGAAAACCAGCUUGACAUAAUCAUAGACUGAAUGGGUCGUCGACAAAAUGAUUGGGAAUUUUUUUCCCAAACAAUUUCAAAAUUCCACUGUCCAUAGGUUAAUCAAAUCAGGAGGUGGUUGGUACUACUAGUACUAGCGAAGCAGCCGCUAUCACAUAAAACAAUGGCACGAGCCGAAUCAGAAAGACAGCCGCUGCUUGCAAAGCAUUGCCCCCACAACCAUAAGAUCAGGGGCCCCUAAAUAACCGGACAGCUAAGUUCGUCGAUGAUUCGCUCGUCUAAAAGGAGCUCAUCUAGCUCCGUUUCGUUGUAUUUCCUCGUGUCUGGAGCCUAAUGGGAGGUUAGUUAGGCGGUCGCCAAUGAUUGAGGAUUACCUGGCUGUGAUGGGAGGAGCUGGCUGGCCACAUUGGUGGCCUUCAGGUGAGAUGGACAUGGGAACUCCAUCACAUGCCCAUCUCAAGCACCAGCCCGGCGAUCCCUGUUGGGGAAGCUGUAGCAUUUCUCAUGCUGCACAUGUAGAAAUCUUCUGCGUGCCAACCGCUGUCGCCGUCGGCCCAGUGCGCGAUGAGCAUGGCACCGCCACUGCGUGGUCGCGAUCGCUACAGGCGGCUACAGGCAAUAACUCGGGGCAGUAUGUUAGUUCAGGGAAUUGAUGAUAUGGAAAUAACAGAACUUACCAUUAACUUAUACUCUACUAGCAUAGAUCAUGCCAGGCCACAUGACUCCAUGCUUAAAAUGUUACAAUGGGACCUUUCGCGGCAAACAGCAAAUGCACCCCUUGUAUGUUUAUUCUAGAAUGUUAUAAUGUCACAAAACACAGAUUAAGUUGCAAACGAAGGCAUUUCGGUGCCACGUUAUUAGAGGAACAAAGAGUUUGGUAGCCAUUCGCUGGGUAUUCGAAGAAUGAAAGAACAGAUAGCUAUGGGCUAGAUUCCCUCGAGACUUCUUGUCCCCGACUAAAUGGCUAGCAACUUCAGUCUACUUACAUGUGGAACAGUGGAAACAAAGUGUGCUUGGCAUGUGCUAUUAUUACACAAAGCUCUAUAUACGAGUUGCAACUAUAGCUCCCGUCGGUCGAUUUUCACAGAGAUGCGCCCGACUCCCAACUCAAGAGUUUGUCACGCUUUGCAGCAUGUUGUCUAGGGCUCAGAGAGCAAGAUCAGCAUACUGUUUUAACCAACUGACAACUCACAAAAAUGAGCCGAAACUGACAUUAUUCGUAUGCUUCCAUCAGACUGGCCAGUGCCCCUCCAAUCUAUGGCUUUGCUUUGAGCAAGAUGGAAGAGUAUGAAGCAAUUCUAUACCCGGAUCCAGUAAGUGGCACCCCUUCCGGUGUAAUAUCGUUUGGUGAUUCCAGGUUGGUAUCCACCUGCAAAAAGGACACAACAGCAGUUUCAGGCUAAUUAUCCACUAAACUUAUAGCAAGUCAGAACUAAGCCACUUGCUUCCAGAAAAUUGCAAAAAUCUGUCUUUCUUAGAAAACACUGGGGAAAAUAUCAGUAGAUUUUCCAAGCAAUUGAUGUAGUAGCAUGGGAGGAACUAGACAGUACGACCACUGAGUUACAAAAAGUUAGCAAGACAGGAAGUAUACAUACCACACGGUUCCAGCUUUUAUGAUGAGGUGCUGGGGGAAUCACAGCAUCCACAAAAUAGUCAUGGGCAUUGAAUGCCAAAUAGAUAUCUCCACCAGAAUUGUGGUCGUGUAUCCUACAUUAAUCGCCAAACAAAACAGUUGAGAAGACAAGAACUCGUAGCAACCAAACUACAACAAUACUAUCAUAUGGUCAGAAUGAAUUACACAAUAAAAACUGAAAGCCAAACUUCCUUACGUGAAUGCCAAGAAUUUGCUUUCCAAGUUAUCCCAACAAUCCUCAUGCCAGGUGACAUCAUUCUACAAUCAAGAAAGAUCAGAAUGCGAUGAAAACCUUUGGAAGAAAAUUCAAACCAAGAGUUACAUACUUGCAUCCUACAAAAGCUAGGAAUUGUCGUUUCUAACGUGCAAUGCACAAUAAGAGACCAGAUCACAUACUUAGCAAAUACUCAACAGAAACUGAUAACUGUAUUUCAGUAAAGGAAGAACUGUUUAUUUUCAAUACGCCGGUCAACUGCAAGAACACCACUAAGAAUUUGAACAUACUUUACUAAGAAACCUGUCCCGUUUCAGUAUUGGGUGGUUCUGACGAAACUUAAUCAUCUCUGAGAAAAACCUGAAAUGGCCAUAUCUUCUUUCCGCCAACUGUAUCAAACGGACAAGAGGAGAAAACAAGUUAGCAUAUAGAUGUGGCACAUCCAUAACACAUUUUGAAUGGAAAACCAAAAUAAUCAUGUAACCUGUUCCCACUGGAAAUUAUUUAUGCAGGUAUCAUGUCCAUAGCUAUUAUUGUUUCCAUAACGUGUAUGACCAUAUUCAUCUCCCAUCAACAUCAUUGGGGUGCCCUGUUACAAAAACAAAAGGUGCAAUUAGUAAUUUUUACAUUAUGCAAUACCACAUAAAAGUCCAACUGUGAAGUGAUCAAUAAUAUUUACUUGAGAAAUCAUUAAUGCCACAUGGAAGUUCUUCAUUUGUCUCGAACGCAGAGCUAACACAUUCGAAUCAUUUGUUUCUCCUGUUUAGCAACAAGAUCAAAAUAUGAUAACCUUCCAUGGUUGUAUUUUCUUCGAGAAACAGAAAGUGUGCGCUUCGAUGCAUUGAUAGAAAGAAUAGAGUAGUAACCGUAGAAGCCUAAGACUACGCCGAAGCAACCGACCACUCAAGACAAGACCACAACUACAAACAAACACAACCAAACCAACCCUGGCAUAGAUGCCAUCCGCACAAGCGGACAGAACACAACGCCCAUCACAAGAAGAGAGAAUCCAACUCUGCAAAGGGCAGAAUUGGGCUACUCCCACUUUGGAGGCAACAUAGUUGUAUUUGGUCUAUUCUUGAUACAGAAACUUCACUACUAAGAGUAGGCCAUGAGUUCUAUCAAGUGUCAAGCAUACUGCAAAAUUAAUUUUGAACUAAAAAUGCAUUUCGUGUUCUCCUUGUUCUUGUGCAAUACUAUACUUCAGUCAGAUAUCUUAAGAACGGCGGCACUGGAGAUCGCCUCUGUGUGGUUGGAUAUCGGCUCUGGCUGCUUGGGUGGUUGAGUCGUCGACCCGUUGGGUGCACGGCCUCAGGGCCAGUGUGCUGUGCUGCUGAUGUUUGUAAGCCAGAGUGGCGGCUUAGGGUCAUGUGGUAGGGUGUCGACUAGGGUCGCUUGG